CCGCGUCCAUAGCCCUCUUCAUCACCAUCACGAUACUUAUUACGAUCCUCGUCGUCGUCAUCACUGCGGCGACUCCCAUAAGAAGGCCUCUCAUAAUCUCCUCCUUCAUGGCUAACCCUCUUAGGUGAAUCAUCUCCAUAACUUGGCUUCUCAUGAUGGCUCCUUCCUCCAUACCCUUCUCCCUCUUCCUCGUAACUCUGCUUCCUGCCAUACCCAGACACAUGCUCCGACCCACCUUCUUCAUAUUCGGACCCUGGCCUCCUCAUGUUGGCUCCUUCAUAGCUAACCCUCUUAGGUGAAUCAUCUCCACUACUUGGCUUAUGUUGGCUCCUUCCUCCAUACCCUUCUCCCUCUUCCUCGUAACUCUGCUUCCUGCCAUACCCAGACACAUGCUCCGACCCACCUUCUUCAUAUUCGGACCCUGGCCUCCUCAUGUUGGCUCCUUCAUAGCUAACCCUCUUAGGUGAAUCAUCUCCACUACUUGGCUUCUCAUGUUGGCUCCUUCCUCCAUACCCUUCUCCCUCUUCCUCGUAACUCUGCUUCCUGCCAUACCCAGACACAUGCUCCGACCCAUCUUCUUCAUAUUCGGACCCUGGCCUCCUCCCAUGCCCGGAUCCGUACCCCGUCUCAGUCCUCUCUUCAUGUUCGCUGGACUUCUCGUACCCAGACCCGUAUUCAGAUUCGGGAUUCCUCCCAUAACCCGAACUGUACUCACUUGGCUUCUCAUAUCCAGAACCAUAUUCAGAUUCGGGUCUCCUGCUAUACCCAGAUCCAUAUUCCUCACUCUGAGGUCUCUCAUAGCCAGACCCGUAAUCCGAUUCUUGUUUACGUCCAUAACCAGACCCAUGCUUGCUCGGCUUCUCAUAGCCAGAUCCAUCUUCGUACUCGGGUCUCCUCCCAUACCCGGAUCCAUACUCGCUAGGUUUCUCAUAGCCACCAGACCCAUAUUCCUCACUAUGAGGCUUGCCAUACCCAGCAGACUCAUAGCUAGAGCCAUGCUCCUCACUAGCCGGCUUCUCAUACCCAGCAGACCCAUACUCCGAUCCGGGCUGCAAUCCAUAAGCCGGUUGAGGCCCACCAUAACUGGAUCCAGGUCGAGGCUUGGGACGGGAGUAGCUGCUGUACUCUGUUUCAAGAGCUUCAUCAGCGUAAGGAGACGGCUCAGAAUGUGAGGAGUAAUUGGGACGAUCGUAGUCGAUCUCGUCGGACGGUGAGGAAGAGCUGAUUGGAUGGCAGGUAUCAUCGGACGGUGGGAUUGGCCGACCAUAAGUUAAAGCAAUGUCGUAACCGCCACCGUAUGGGGUGGGAUCGUACUCAUCGUAAUCGUCGACUUGGUCAUCCUGUCCUCGUGAGUAGUACGACAUUUUUUUUUCUUCACUGGUUUUGUGACUGUUGUCUGAAAGAGUGAGAAACGGGGAACGUGAGAAAGACGAGGGUGUAAAAAUAUCGUUGAUAUUUGUUUUAAUUUAGUCACGAAACGAUGUGGGUACAGUGGGAAUGCUUGCCAAGUGGUAUUUGAGUGUGGUGUGGGCCCACAAUUACUUAGUUCUAGGUUACCGGCGCUCAAAUAUUUUAAUUUUUUAUAAAAAACAAAUUGUAUAUCCAAGUUUUUUAAAUUAACUAAUGUAAUUCAAAAAAAUUGGACGGAAAAAUCUCUAUAUAUAUAUAUAUAUAUAAUUAAAUAAACUGAGAAUUAUAUAUAUUAAUAAAUAAAUAAAAAUUUAUUAAUGAUAUCUUAAUUAAAAACAUGUUUUAAUUGAGAUAUUUAAUCUCCUAAAAAAAAUAAUUAUUCAAUUAUAUUUAUUAAGUUUUAUUUAUUAUAAUUUUUUUAUUCAAUCAAACGAUAAUAAAAAUAGAUAAAUAUAUUAAAUUAAUUGAAUAAAAUUAAAAACAAUAUUAUACAAGGCUACAUAUAUUAGAAAUAUUAUCACAAAAUAAAUUAUUUUAAAACAAUAUAGUUCAUUUAUACAAAAGAUAAUAAAAAACAAUUAUAGAUGAAUUAGAAAACAUCUUCAAAAAUUAAACACAUGAUAAAAAAAAAUAAACAUCAUUUAAAAGAGGCUCUCUAAACAAAAUAAAAAAGAGAAUGAAUAUUAAUCUAAAUAUAAAUAAUUUUUUUUAAAAAAAAAUGAUCAGGCGCUGCUAGGACUAGUAAGUCAGGCCAGCCCGCCUAGCCCAUUUCCUUAGGAUCUACGUGAUUGGAUUCUUAUUUUUUAUGCUACACAAAAAAACCAAACAACACAUCGUUUGAUUUUAUCCAUAUUUCAACCACUGUGAUGGCCGGAAAAUUAAGACUUAAAUGUUUUUGCCAAAAAUCCGUUUUCAACCCCUUUUUGACUUAAAACACCUAUAAAAACACCUUAAGAACCAUGAUAAACAUAUUCAUGACCUCAAAAAAACAAAACAAAAACUAUCAAAAUCAAUUCAAAACCAAAAAUCAACUUGAGCUCAUAUUUUUUUUUUCACGAACUUUAAAGGUAAAAAAACACAUAAUAAGAACUUUCCUCAUCAAAAGGAAUAAUUUAACCCAAAUAUUGUCUUUUUCAGUGGCCUAAAUCGGUGUCAACGAUGUAUUUCUCUUUCUAUCGCUGGAAUUCAAUGACUUUUCUCUCUCUUCUCUCAAUCAAGGACUAAAAAAUAACAAAAAAUAAAUUUUAUACCAAAAUUUAAUUUGAAAAAUAUUGAGGUACUGAAAUUGUAUAAUCUAUGAUAUUUUUUAAGUUUAAGGACCAAAGUGCAUCUUUUUUAAAACUUAUAGCACACCACCCAUGUCUAACGCCCUUUUCAUUUAGGUCCCUUUUCUUUCAAUCACUUCUUAUAUAAAAAAUCAAAAUUAAUUGGUUUUCGAUUAGGAAUAAAUCAUUGGAAAAAAAUGUUUGAAGACCAAAUUGAAAAAAUAAAAAUUUUUGCAUAGUCCAUCCACAAUAAUGUGUGAGAGAAUGAAUAGUGAGAUCAUGCAUAAUGAAAAAUUCAUGCCUUUUAUUUUUAUACCUAAUUAUCUGAAGAGAUUUCUUUUAUUUUUAAAAAUAAAGUUCAUUUAUAUAAAAGAUACAAAAAACUAUAAAUUAAUCAAGAAAAAUCUUCAAGAUUUAAAUGCACAACAAGACAAUUAUCUGUCCAUUAAGAGAGACUUUCUAAACAAAAUGAAAGAGAGAAUGAGUAUUAAUCUACAUUUAAAUUAAAAAAAUUUGAGAAACAAGAAUAUAAAAGGCAUUAAUUUAAGGAAGUAAUUAGAAAAAAAUAAUUUAGAAAAACAAUAUUCAAUCUCGCAAGAAAUGAUAUUUACCUAGUUGUAUUUGCUAAAUUUUUUUAUUAGAAUAAUUUAUUUAUUCAAUCAAAUAAUAAUAGAAACAAAUACACAAAUUAAAUUGAUCCAAUAAAAUAAAAGGGAAAAAAACACUAUUUAAGGCUGCACAUAUUAGAAAUAUUAUCUGAAAAAACAUUUUUUUUUAUCAAAAAUAAAGUUCAUCUAUACAAAAACAAAAACAAUUAUAGAUGAAUAAAAAAACACUUUAAAAUUUAAAUGCAUAACUUAAAAAAAUAUUUGUCAUUUAUAAGAGGCUUUUUAAAUAAAAUGAAAGAGAGAAGGGGUAUUAAUCUACAUAUAAAUAAAAAAAAUAAUAUAAAAAAUUUAAUUAAAAAAAUAAUUUAAAAGAAUAAUAUAGAAAAAAAUAUUUAAUCUUACAAGAUGAGACAUUUAUCCGAUUGUAUUUGAUGAAUUUGUUUACUAAAAUAAUUUUUUUAUUCAAUCAAACGAUAAUAGAAAUAGAAACAUAUUAAAUUGAUUGAAUAAAAUAAAAGGAAAAAAACAAUAUUCAAGGCUGCACAUAUUAGAAAUAUUAUCAAACGAUAAUAGAAAUAGAAACAUAUUAAAUUGAUUGUAUUUAAUCUCCAUUGUAGCAGUUGCAACUGAUAGAAGUAAUGACAAUUUGAUAAGCAUAUAUCUAAUGGAAAUAUCAAAUUCUUCUUUGUUUUAACAUUUUCUCUGUAAGACUAGCAAUACCUUCAAUACCAGAGAACUCAUCAUCACCACGAGAUCAAUAAUAUACGUAUCAAGUUGGUCACCAAGUAUCAUAAGGUCCACUAUAGAGAAUUCACUAGGAUAAAAAAGAGCAAGGAGAAUAAGUUUUUCUUUGUUGAAAGUAUAUUUGGGCUUAAACGUGCCACACAAAAAAGUAACUCCGUACUCAUCUCGGUAAAACGAUCAUCCAACUCAGUAAGUUGCAUGUCAAUGAUAUUGUUAAACAAUUCAUAACAAAAAUGGUGUAAGUUUGUAAUCCCUUGAGAUUUUCGCCUUGAAUGCUCACAAAGCUUGUACUCAUCAUCCAUGUUUAGAAUAUCAAUAUCAUGUUUGAUGCAAAAAGAUGACACUUCUUCCAGUAAAGAUUCCCGAUCAUUCUCUCUCAUCAUUUUGAAUCGUUCAUUUGAUGUUUUCAAUAAACUCAUAGCAUUUUCUAUGUCUUGAUCUUUUCUUUGUAAUGCUUGUGAGAACUCAUUAGUAACUGCUAGUAUCCUUCUCAAACAAUGAAGCAUGAACACAAAAUUAAAUAAUACCUCUUAAAAAGACCGCUUCCGUUCUCUGUUCUGAGUUCAUCCCAUCCUCCCUUAUAAUCUCAAGCACAUUAAGAACUGAUGAAAACAUUGCAAGUAAAUGAAUAAUUGUAACAUAGUGGGAGCCUCAACGAGUAUCACCAUACCUUCUAAGAGAAAUUUCUUGAUUCAGGCCUCGUCCACUAGAAAUUUCUCUAUUUUCAAGUCCUUCAAUAAUUGCCAUUUGUUCCUUGAUUGAUAUGUCACGUGACUCAUCAAUUAAAAUUGAAAAUAAUGAGUCACCUAGAUCUUUGAUAAUCACAUUUGUAAUCUCCUCUGCAGAAGCUUGAGUAAUGUCUUUUUAAAUAUCUGGAGAAGUCAAUUUGUUAUGUUUAGGAGUUUCACUGAAAGUAACUCUUUUAAUAGCUUCAUUAUUUCUGGAAAGGAAAUGCAAGAGCUCUAGAUAAUUUCCUUGAUUGCUUGAACAUUCACAUUCAUCAUGGUCAUGAAAUGGAAGUCCUUGGUGCAACAAAAAACGAGCACACUCUAUUGAAGCAUUCAAUCAAGUUAGAUAAUCACUUUGACUCUUUAUUGUCUGCUCAUAUAACAAAGUCAUGAUACUUUGUUUUUCAUUCAUCAAAUUCUCACAUUUUAUCCGAGCUGCAUUGUGACUACUAUUAGACUUUCCAAUAUGAAGAUCAAAUCUUUCCUCUCUUUUUUUCAAUUUGAAAACCCAUCACCCACAAACGAAUCAACACCCUCUUUUGACUUGAAGAGGUAACAAUACAAGCAAAAGGCAGCAUCUUUGGCUAUGCUGUACUCUAACCAUGUUGGGUAUGCACCAAACCAAGUUGGAUUAAAGCGUCGUAGUGUUGAUAUAUUCCCAAAUUAUUUUUGAGGGAAAUCAUAGUGUGAAGGUUAACAAGGACCUUUUUGUAGAUAAGCUCUUCAGAUUGCAUCCCUAUCAUUUAUAUGGUACUCAUAAAUUGGUCUUUUUAAGCCAGGGUCAGCAAAGAGAGUGUCGGGGUUGAUUUCAAUAUGACUUUUCUUUAAACUUGAUUGAGUUACAUGACUUGAAGCUUUGAUUGACUCUUCAUCCUCAAGGGAUUUACGCUUGAAAUACUAGUCUAGUGACAUGUUAAUUUAAUAUGAACCUGCUAGAUUUUUUAUCAUCAUUAGUGUCUACAUAAUAAUUAACACAACUACACAAUAAUUCACUGUUAAACAAAAGUCAGUUGAGUUACACAAUAAUUCUAAAUCUUCCAUAUGAAAUUAAUAGCAAAAUACAAGUCAAUUCAUCAAAAUCAAAACCUAUUUCAAUUCAUAUCUAUAUGCAUAUAAUAAGUAUGUUGAUUAAAUUAUACUUAAACAUUUCUAGACAUUUAAUUAAGGAACAAUGCCUAAUGUAUGUGUAAGAGGAACAAUGCUUGAAAAAUAUGCUUUCUACUUGAUAUUUUACUUACAAACAAAUCAUGUGAAAAUAUUGAAUUUCAAUAAACUACUCUGUCAAUACAAGAGAUGUCAAGAAUAGUGAUUUUGCAUGAAUAUUAAUUUAUUUCUUUAUAAUAAGAAAAGAAACACUUAAUUGAUUAAAUUAGCAGAUUUAAACAUUUAUUUUGAACAUAUUCAUAACAAAACCUCUAAAUUAUCAUAAACCCUAAUAUUUUUAAUAACUAAUAAUAAAAGAAUAAAAUUAAAAUUAGACAAUUAAAUAAAUAGAAAAGAUGAAGAAAAUUUACCUAAAACAUAAAGCAAAAGGCAAAAAAGAUUAAUUGAUGAAAAAUUUGCAUAUAGGAGAGGCAGGAACGACAGCUGAACAAAAAACCCUCUUUGUUUUAUUAGACAAGGGAAGAUAAAGAAACAAAAGGGAAAAGGAGAAAAAUUGGUAUACACGAGUCAAGUUAGUCAACAAUAAUAAAAAAUAAAAACUUUCCUUACCUGUAGCAAUAAUUCACACCCACUAAUAUAUUAAUAUUUUAAUAAAAAAAAAUUAAGGGGGCAAUUGCCCCCUUUUGACCCACUGUGGCUCCGCCACUGCUCGUCACUAUUGCAUAUUGCUCUGCCACUACUUGUCACUAUUGCAAGCAUGCGUGAAUAAUUCACGCAAGCCUACAACAGUGGCCAACCUGGCUUGAGGCAGUGAACUAGCUGGGCUAGUUAGAUCCAACAAAAAAAAAUAUCUGAGGCCGGGAUAGGCCUAGGCCUCAGGUCGAGCUGGCCCAAUUUGUUUUGGGCUAAGGGUGUGUUUUUAUGUCUUACCUUUUUUAUUUCGCACUCCUUUAUUUUGAUAUCUGGUCAAAUGAGUCCUUUUUUAAUAGCAGAAAAUUCUAGAAAAUUUCGGGGGUCUUCUUUGAUUUAUUUAUGGGUCUCUCGCAUUUUUUUUUUCAUGUUGUUUUGUUGGCUUUGUUGUAUAUUCGAUUUGUGGACUUUUAUUAUAAAAAUACGAAUCUGAUAUGCAAUACAUGUUUUUUUUCUUCCCUAAAAAAAUAAAAAAAAAUUGUUUCCUUUUCUUUUAAUCUAAGUUUUGCGGAUUUAUUUAAUUACACCAGAGUCAGGAAUACUGUACCUUUUGAGUUACAUAAUAUUUACCAACGCCAGAGUUGGAAAUAUUCAUAGGUGAAUAUUCAUCGAUGCCAGAGUCAGGAAUAUUAUAGGAAGACCAUAAGACCUGAACAAAAACAAAUAUUUAGCAAUUUAAGACAAGAACAACAAUGCAGACUGCCUCAGGUAGGACACUUAAGGGGUGAUAAUAUUUUCUUAUAUUAUACAAUCUUUGUUGACUAGUUAGGGUUCCUAGUGACCAUAAUACUAGAUGACGACUCCUUAAACUAGAUUUUUUUCCCUCUAAGAACAAGAUGGUAGAUAUUUAUUCUUUUUGCACUUUUUAAAUAAUUUUUUUAAAGGUUGUCGUGAUGUCUGGUUGUAACAGCAAUUCUAAAGGAUUUUGGCCUACAUUUCAAAAAUAUUAAAAACUUAUUUUUGGCAAGAAAAUAUAUUAUUUACUUUUACUAUAAGGAUAAAAAACCUACAAAAUGGUUAAUAUCCAAAAUAUUAUUAGAGAUAAUAAUUUAUUAUUAUUUACUUUUAAUAUAAGGAUAAAAAAAACCUGUAUGAGGGUUAAUAUCUAAAAUAUUAUUGAGAGUAUUACAACUCAUUCACUUUUAAUAUAAGGAUACAAACCUCAAGAGGUUUUAUCUGAAAUAUUAUUUGAAAUGAUGUAGUAGCCAAUAACACCAAGUUUGUCUCGAAAGAAGUCUCAAUGAUACCUGUGUCUUAUGAUACAAGAGUCAUGGAUAUCCUAAAUAGUAAAUACCAAAGAGUAAAGAGAGAAUAAAACUGAAUCUCUUUGGAUUUCUAGCUAUGAUUCAUCUGUCGUGCAUAAGUUGUGAAUAUACAUAUUUUCUUUAAACAUCUUUCAGACCAAGUUCUUGACCUAAGAAACCAGAGUUUAUUCAUCAUAGCAAUCUCGUCAUAGAUACAUUAAUAGAAAUAAAAAUACCAUUAGACCAUAGCAAUCACAAACAAAGAAAAACGAUACUGUUUAUCUCAAGUAAGGUGUACUAGGGGUGCUAAUAUUUUUCUUUUACACAACCAAUCCCUUUUCUAGAAUCUCUAAAGACCAAUUAGGAUUUCUGGUAACCAUAAUACUAAGUGACGACUCCUUAUCUAAAUAAAGACUCUUAACUUGUUCGGGAAGGGUUACUGCUACGUCACACUCUUGCGAGGGUAUGACAAUUAUCCCUAAUAGAGUUGCCACAUAGUAAUUAAAGAAAAAUAGAAAUUCUAAAAUAAACAUUGGUCUCAGAGAUUCAAGUAUUGUGUUACUUCUGCCUAAGAGAAGAUUGACGUCACUCUUAUCGCAUCUGUUCAAACGAAAAGUUACAAUUGCUCCAUGUUUUCUCAUAAAUUUAUUCUAUACAUGCUAGCUAUUAAGCUUUUAAACCAUUUUCUAGAAUUAUAUUUUUUAAAAAGACAUCGGAAACAUAUUGAGAAAUUUGACGUUAAUCCCUAAAACUAGGAGAUUUUAUCAGUUUUGACUUUUUAACAAAAAUAUUUACGUUAAUCCUUAAAAGUAGGAGAUUUCAUCAAUUUAGGAUUUUGAAUGUAGAAUCGUGAUGUUAAUCCCUAAAAUAUGAUAUUUUAUCAAUUUUGGACUUGAAAAUCUUUUUAUGUUAAUCCAUAAAAUAGGAGAUUUCAUCAUUUUAGAAUUUUAAAAUAGUGUUGGACUUCAAGGAAUGUAAAAAAAUGGGGCUUAGGACCCCCUUUUUUAAUAUGAAAAUAAUUCUACCAUUUAUUUGAUUAUGAAGAUUAGUUGAAAAUUACUAUUUAAGCACAAAUUCCUUUCCACAAAAAACUAGCAUAUUCUCCCAUAGAAUUUACGCAUCCAAUCAUAAAUCAAUGAUCUCGUACAUAUAAAAAAUCCUCACAUAAAAAAAUUGAAACUUCCGCGUAUAAAAAAUAAAAACAUCCCCAUGUAAGAUCGAUAAUGUACCUUAAAUCAUUCAACACAAAUAAAUCAAUGCAACAUAUGUUAUUUAACAUAAAUAAGUCAACAUGACCAAAAGCACAACACAAAUAAUUCAUAAUAGAUAAAUCAAUGCAUUAGGGUUUGUAAUCGACAUUUUAGAGCAACUAAGGUGGCUUGAGAGCUGAUGUAAUGUCUGGUGACAGUGGUGGCAUGUGUUUGUCACGAGCCGUGAAAGGUAGUUGUUGUUGGUGCAUUGUUGCACAUGCCAAGGGAUGGAGGCGUUUGGACUAGUCCACUAGAUGUGCCUCUUCUUCUUCUUCUUUUGAUAUCGAUGGUGUCACCCAUCACUACUUGUGGUGGGAGAUCGAAGCGCUAAAUUUUUAGUCUUUUUUGUUUCUUUCUUUUCUUUCUCUCUCUUCACUCUCAAUUGAUUCUAUAAGGUGGUUGCUCGGUGUGGUGGUUACUGAAGAAGGUGUUGUGAUGGGGGGAAGCUAGGUUGCCAUCAUAAUGGCUCCAGUAAGGGAGAGCUAGGUUUUGAGAGAAAAACAUUGUUGUUUUAGGAUGAUUUUUCAUUUGAUUUUUUAAUUGGAAUUUGGGUUAUUUUUGGGUUGAUUUUGAAUGUUGACUAGAAAAUGGAGGAUUGGAGUUGGGGUUUUGAGUGGUUGGAGCUUUAGUUGAUGAUGGCUUGUUUUUUUUUUUUUUGGUGGAGGUUGAAGAAGGGUAGACUAGUAUUUUUUUUCUUUUAUCUCUUUUUUUAUUUCUCUACAAUUUCUUUUCUCCUAAAGUUUUGCUCUCGCCUUUUCUUUUGGCACAUAUUCUCUCUAAAUUUUUUUCUUCCUAGGGUUUCUUUAUGGCCUUUUUUUUUAAUCUCUCUAAAGGUAUCUUCUAUUUAUAUUACUUCAUUUGGGAAUAUUUUUAUUUUUUAUUCUUUAUUCUAUGAAUAUUCUAUCCUAUCUAGUAAUUUCAUUAUCUCACUAAACUUUUCUUCUUUGCCUUUGAUUUUUUUUCUUUUGAAUUUUUAACUUUUAAAAAACUGUUAUCGCGAAAAUGAUAAGCAAAAUGGCUGAAAAUUAGCUGAAUUAUAUUGAAAAUAUUUUUUUAUUUUGGAAAUUUAGGUAUUCUUUGAAAAUAUAUUUGAAAACGAGGGAGGGGGUUUGGAAACGGGUUAUGAGACCCUUAAACCAAAUCAAUCCAAGAUUUAAUUCACUAAUUUACCAGUCAAACUGGCUAAUCCAGUACAAAUAUGAAAACAGUGGCCUCGUGGUUAAUAAGGCAUGCUCCUUUUUUAACUUUCCAAAUCUCAAUUUUAUUUUAUUUUUCAUUAAAUUUCUUUUAAUACAUUAGGCUGAUGAGAAGAAUGAAUCCUUAAGAUCACUCAAUGAUGAAGACGAUGUUUAUUUUCGAUUUAUUUUAUGUUUUAAAAGUGUUUUUAAAAAUAUUGAAUUUUUUUUUAUUUUAAAUUAAUAUUUUUUUAGUAUUUUUAGAUAUUUUAAUUCGUUGAUAUAAAAAAUAAUUUUUUUAAAAUAAAAAAAAUAUCAUUUUAAUAUAAUUAUAAAUAAAAAAAUACUUUACAAAAUAAUUACAAUCACAAGCUAAUCACCUUACAUAUACGAACUAAAAUAUUAGCACAGAACAACUCUUAGGUGUAUUUGUUUAACCAAUUAAUUAUUAUUUUUUUUAGUUCAGCAAAUUAAUCCUCGUUAUCUUAAAAAAAAACUAUAUAUUUAAUCUUUAUAUUUUUAAAUCCAUUUAUAAUUUAUUUUUUUCAUCAUUUUCGUUUUUUUUUCAAUUUAUUUUGUCAGAUUUAUUUGUUUUGAGAAAUAGAUAAAAUGGAUAUAUCACAUUAAAAGAAUAAAUUUUUUUCUUCACAGAAUACUGCGUAUGAAUUUGUAGGAUUUUUUUGUUGAUUCAAUUCUAAAAGGUAUUGAAUUCUAGUAAAGUAAAAAAAAAAAAAAUUAAGAGUUUAGUAACAGUUAUUUUUUAAUAUAUUUUUUAUUUUAAAAUAUAUUAAAAUAAUAUUUUUUAAUUUUGUAAAUUAUUUUUAUAUCAAUAUAUUAAAAUAAUAUAAAAAUAUAAUUUUAUUUUAAAAAAUAGUUUUAACCACGUUUUCAAAUGUUAGAAGGACAGAGAGGAAAGCCGUGGAUGCUAUAAUUAACUCUUGUUUUUGGGAGAACGCAAUUAAUUAACUCUUGUUUAAUUUUCCAGCAAUAAUAAAUUAUUUAGCUAUUUUAAUCAUUAUUUACUUCCUAGCGUUUUAUAAUAAUCACAAUUAAUCUAAAUUAUAAACAGACAAGACAAAAGCAACGAACAUUCCAUAUUUAACAAACAAACAAUACUAAAAAAAAACCCAGUAAAGCAAACAAACAAAUCCCAUGAUUUUUUCAAUUCGAUCUCAUUGUCAUUUCACAUUUUAUUGGAUUAAUCAAUGGCGUUGACGGUGGCAGAAGACGGUUGUCAGACUUUAUGAUGGUGCAGGAAGCAAUAGAUGGGGUGCCACUCCGCAACACGUGCAGAACUGUGAUUCGUGUGCCACCUGGGGUUUACUGGCAACCCGUGUGAGUGCCAAGACCAAGAAUCUCAUAACUCUUGCGGGUUUGAGACCAGAAGUUACUAGCUUGACUUGGAACAACACUUCUACCAAAAAUGAUCAUCACCAGGUGCACUGAUUUUCUGUGUUUUCUAACUUGCUCAUCUGGGUUUUUGACACGUGUUUUUGGAGGUCUUUGAUGUUGCGUUUUUGUACUGCAGGCUUCGAAGGUCAUUGAGACUGGGACCUUUAGGUGUGGGACUGUGAUUGUGGAAGGAGAGGGUUUUAUUACUGAGACUAUCACUUUUGAGAAAUUUUCUCCUGAGGUAAUGUACUAAUCUUUAUGCUUAAUGUAGGCUCUCUCUUUUCUCCUGUUGUCAAUUUCGUGGUGGCUUCUUGUGAUGGAAUAAGAUUUUUGGAUUUUUAUUGUGUUUGAGGUUUUGGGACCUUUUGUUUUUAUACCAGUAUUUGUUGGUGUGAUGAGUAAUUGCGAUUUUUGUUAAUUGAAAAAUUGAUUUUUUUUUCUAUCCAUACUUUGAAAUUAAGUCUUAGUUGUGUGAACAAUGGAGGUGAAUACAGUACUUGAUAAUUGUUUUCUUUUAGCCAUUGGUUGUGUCAGAAUGUAUGAUUCGAGGUGUUAUCUACAUUGUUCAAAAUGAACCAUCUUUAAUUGUUUAAUAAAUUAUUUGAAGCUGUCAAAUAAUUGAUCUGUGUUUUUGAUCUUCUUUUACCCCAGGUUCAGGUCAAGCUGUGGCAAUUAGAGUGACAGCUGAUUGGUAUGCAUUCUAUAAUUGCCUGUUCAUUGGGUGGCAGGUAAAUUAACUGUCUCAUUUGGUUGGUUUCAUGGAUCAUUUGCUUCAUCGUUCAAGUUUUCUGAUGACAUUGAUUAUUUAAGAACUCCAUUUACUUGUCAAACUUGUUAAUUUUAUGGAUGCUAAAUACAGUGACGUUGAGUAAUUCUCUCUCAUAGUGAACUGCCAAUUAUAAUACUACAUCAUUAUUCAAACUUGCUCGUGCAGCAGUUUACUAAUCAUUGAUAAAUUGCAGGCCUGAUAUUCUACCUAUGUUGUAAAUGGACGAACAUCAUGAAUUGGUUUGAAACAAUCAAGAAUGAGCUUGUUCCUAUAAGUGGGAAGUUGGUAAUCUUUUGAAAAUAAAUGAGUUAGUUGUUUGAUUAUUUCUCUAGGGUUCUGGUGCCUAAGGCUAACAUUGCCUGAGUCAAUAAUGAGCCAGUGCGUGUGCUUUGGUACCCUGCCAAUGUAUUAUUGGAGUUCUGAACUAUAUGAGGAGGUAUCAUAUGGACACAAACCCAAAAUCAUGUGCUCGUGUAUUUCCUUAUUUUAGGAUACUCUUUAUUUGCAUUAUGGGAAGCAGUAUUUGAAAGAUUGCUACAUUGAAGGCUACGUGGACUUUAUUUUUGGGAAUAUCACUGCUCUAUUGGAACAUUGUCAUAUCCAAUGCAAAUCAGCAGGUCUUUUAAUUGCUCAAAGCAUAAAAUCUUCCCAGGAGUCAACUGGUUAUGUCUUUCCGAGGUGGGUUUUUAUUGGCUUUCACCUUUCUUGUCUAUUGUUCCUGCCUCCUGUAAGUUCCUAGUCAAGGUUUUUGCAAUAUUAGCAUCUUUCUUCUGGAGAAGUUGGGAAGAAUUGUACUGACUCAAUAAAAUUCAUAAGUUGUCUGAUAGGUUUAUCAAUGUCAGCCAACAUGAAUUCUUGUGCAAUGAAAAUGUCCUGGCAUUUUAAACUCUAUCGACCACAUAAACUCUGUAUAGAUCCUUAAAGUUUUACAUAUCUGCUCCCUAGCCCGAACAAAGUAGUUUUGGUGCACUAUUGACAUCGAGGCUACAGUAUUUAUUUCUCUAGUUAUUAAGAUUUCUAUUGCUUGAUGAUAGAAAUGGGAAAUGCAUGUCUUAUACAGAGCUGAAUCAUGACCCUAGACUUUUAGAGCGGGCUCCAAACGGAUUGGUUGGAAAUUAAAUUGUUGAUUCCUGUAUGUUUACAGAAUUGUACAAGGAACCUCUUGAGGAAAUUUUUAAUAUCCUUCUUACAAAAUUUUGAAGUGUUCAGAUUUGACUUUAAAAUCUCUUCAUUUUGACAUCUAUUAGAAUAUCCAGGUACCUAUAGUUGAGAAUUGUCAGAUUUCCGAUGUAGGCUUAUUGUUUCAGAGAGAAAAUUAGUGUCAUUCUUCUCUACUACUUCUUCCAACAAUCACUUGUCAAUUCCUUUGUAACUUUGGUUGGGUGUAAUGAAAUGUAAUCUAAUGCAGUAGGUUAAGGAUCCGUGCUUAUUUUUCUUCCAUAGCAUUGCCUAUUUCUUUUUGUUCUUUUUUUCUAGCAAGCAUUUCAUUAUUGUUCUUCAUUCUUGUUUCAACUUGAUUAUAUAGCAUGUGAUAGAUUACAUCAUGUAGACUAGAAGUUACCUAGUUGUGCUCUGCAGUUAGCAUUAAUGGUUUUGGUAUGUUCCUAGAGUUAUGUUGGGCAGUUGGGCCUCAAAUUAAAUCUACAGUUAUGUAACUUUCACUACUUCUAUCUGGUAUUUCUAUGAGUCCAAGUUUCUGACAUGUCCAUGUUUAUUUAAGAGAUUUUCCUUUGUUUCUGACAACCCACACUGGUAUUUCUAUCCAGAUAUUUGACUUGAAGUCGUAGACUAUGUAAUUUAUUGCGGAAGUACAAUUCUACAGUUAUUUAACCUGUUAUUCUGAUUAAAGCUGGUUGUAGAUGAGAUAUGAAAUGCAAAAUCAGAGUACUCUGUUUUUUCAUGUCUUUCUUCGAUCACUCAGAAUUUUUUAUUUUCUGCCUAUGAGCUUUGUGUCUCAGAGAUCUGGCUUUAAUAGCUCUCUUGAGUUGUCAUCUUAUAUGAAAUAAUAGUCCUUGUAUCUUUUGCCAACCGAACUUUCUGGUAUAAUUUGCUUAUGGCAAUACCAUCACCAUUGAUACAUUAUUCUUGCAGGGUUGUCUGGCUAGGAGAUCCUAUCUUGGUUCUCUUGGCAUUCUUUCUUGUGAUGGUUUGGUCUGCUCUAAUUAAUUAUCGCAUCCAUGCAGAUAUGUGAUUACUGGCAAUGGAGGGGACUUCAUAUAUGUGCCUUGAACGUCCAUGGGGACUCUUUGGAAGAAUCAUUGUAGCAGACAUGUAGGAUGGAAUAACUUGGGUAAAGCGGAGAAUAAGAGCAAUGCAACUUGCUUUCAAGGAUACAUGUAUUUUGGUUAAAAUCAUCAUGCAUGCUUUGACUUUGGCGAACUGCUAUAAAUAUGAAAUUUGACAAAUAACGUUAAAUAAAUCUUCCCCUGAAUGAACCAUCUCGUGGUAAUUAAUCUUAUCCCCCCACUAAAUCUCUGCCCCACAAAAACUAAAAAGAAUAGAGAAAAAUAAAGCCCUCUUUGAGGUUCAUACCUACUUUCGGUUCACUUCCAUCAUAUGAUUGGCACAUGUUUUUGUAUUAUGUGCCGCUUUAGCUGAAAUUACAGCUGCUUUUUGUAAUGUGGUUGCCCAUCAAAAUGAGUGACAUGGUCAAGAACACUGAUAAAGAAGAAGCAGAUCAUAUUUCUGAUGCAUUGUUUCUUUGUCCCAGAUCCGGAAAGGUGCCUUGGCUGUUAUGCCAAUGAAGGGCCUUGAGGAUACCAUAUUCUGCAUAGAAACUAUAAGCUUCAGUAAAAAGCAUGAACAAACAGUGGAGAAUGAAGCAAGCUCCCAGCAGAUAAUGAAAGAAUGGAAGUGAAAAAGCAUGUAAUCUUUGUUGCCCGUGGUGCAAUACUUUUCUGAUCGUCUUAAGAUUCAUUAGCUUGAGUAAAAUUCAAGGGACAAACACAAGAUCGUCUUCGAUUAUCGUGUUGGACUGGAUAUGUGGGCAAUUGUGGGGAGCCAUGCUAUAACCAGCAACUCCCAAGUCUAGAACCACAGGGUUCCAUGAUUCUCAAGAAAGAAGAAGAAAAAAAGAGAGUUCAAAAUUACCGGGUAAAGAGAAUUCACAGGUACCCUAAAACCCCCAAUAAUUCACAACCACCAGAAAGAAAAAAGGGAAAAAACAGAGUGGGUCCACAUGUCAUGACCGAAAGGCAUGAGCCUACGUUUCUAAUCUCCAAGAACUUGCUUAGUGAAGAACUGGACAAGGUGAAGAAACCCAAUAAGAUAGGCUUUCCUUUCCCUUCUAAGGACAAAAACAAUCGAAGCUGAAAAGAAAGUGAAAUUAAAGAAACCCAAUAAGAUAGGCUUUCCUUCCCUUCUGAAGACAAAACAAUAGUAGCUGAAAGGAAAUGAGCGAAAUUGCAGCAAGGUCCUUUGUCCCAUGCCAGCACCAGGUGCUUGUUGGACAUUUUAGCUCAAGGAAAUGGAAAGAGAAGCUGAAUAUGCAUGAGCGGCAAUGCCAUGCACUGCCUGAACCAAAAUCAAAGCAGCCUUUGAUCAAGAAUCAGAUGGCAAUGAAUUCUGCCACCUACUCUUCAAGAAUGACUACUGAUAUCCCUCUCUAUGAGUCUCCAGGGGUACCCCCAAUUUUCCUCUCCUCUCCUCUCUCUUUCUCUAUCUAUGUGCUGUGACACAUGGCUGGUUUCUAUUUCCUUGCAGGCUUCCUUUGAUGGAUAUUUGGAGGAUAAGCCUAGAGUUUUCAACGCCAUAUUUCCUGACAAAAGGAGGAGCCAACAGCUUAAUGAGGUUUCUGUUAUAUCUUUUGUGCAAUUUCCUUUUCUUUUCCCUCGUUUUCCUUUGAUCUUUUGAAAAUUCAGUUCACUGUGUUGAUUACUGAAAUGAUUUAGAAUCUGCCUCACCAUUGACUCAAAUUGUUAAGGGCCAUUUAUUUACUUGACAUAUAAAGCCUCGUAUGGUUAAUAAAAAAAAUCUAUGCUUUGAGUGACCUUCUGAUUGUAUGUGUAGUCAAGAAUUAAAUGACCUCUGUCUUCUUUGCUGCUGUUUUCCAUCAAUUCUUUUUCAUGUCGUUGUCAAUCACCGGCCAGUCAAAUGGUAUGCAGUGUUUUCUCAUUCCAUAGAAUGAUCACUGUUUAUCUAAGUUGUCCAAUUGAUUGUUAUUUGUGGGAUCCCAACUUUCUUCUCCAUGAGCAGCUUUACAUGAUUCUCAUUUAUUGAUUGGAAAUUACUGCUAUUUUCUCUGGUGACGAUGGAAUCCACUAAUCAACGGUUCUCGUUUCACCAAGGAACUUCUACAGGUACUAUAUGGGUGACUGCCACUCACCAUCUUUUACAAGUAUAAUUGUAUUAAAAAGAAAACUGUACAAAACACUAGUGGCAUACUUCAAGAAGCACAAAGGUUCGUUGCCCGAAUUUAAAUGACCUUAGACAACAAAAAAACAAGCGAAAGCUAAAGAAAACUCAAAAGUAUGAAAAACAGAGUGUCAAACCAACAACAUGGUAACUAGUCAACCGGUUUUUGGAAAAUCAAGAAUCGGACAACCAUUUAUUCAAACAAAAAACUAGAAAUCCAGAAAUCGGUCAACUGUUUACUGAAAAACCCAGAAUCGAUCGAUUGGAUAAGCAACAAAAGCAGGCCUGAAAAGCAGAACUUGAAUAAUAGUAGAAGCAAAAGAUCUUAUGAAAUUGGAAGACCCCAAACGAACCUGAGAUCAAGGGGAAUUUGAUACCAUGGCUCUAACCCCAUCGAACAGGACUAGACAAGCUUGAAAAUAUCCUCACUAACAUCCUGGUAAGGUUGAUAAAACUGGUGGAAGACUCGGUUAUUUCUUUCAUACCAAAUGAAGUAAAUCGUAGUUGAGAGGACUACUUGAGUAAGCACAUGCAUUUACUUUUUCUUCUUCCUGAAGUGCGAGGAUGCCCACUGAAGUAAAUGUCGCCAUGUCUUAGUAGGCUAGUCCAGAAGGGUCAUGUUCUUAAUAGUACCCCUAAACUGAAGCGGAGAAAAGGCACUUAAAGAACAAAUAGUCAUAUGUCUCAACAUGCAACCCAUAAAGUAUACAUACCGAAAAGGUGAUGAUUUGAUAAGCAUGCAGUCUAUCUAUGGUGUGUAGACAACCCAAAGAGGCACUCCAUAGGGUAAAUGAGUGUCUCGGGAAUGUCCUAAAAACCAGAGGAGGUGAUGCAUAGGGUUUGUGGGCCUCAAGUCUUUAAGAAACUGUUAUGCUGAGUCGAUAGUAAACUUCCCUAAUGAAUGACCCUUCUAGACACGGUAAUCUGGUAAGACAAUCCUAGGAUGAGAAUGAACUGAGUCCCAAAUAGGUUGUAACUCCUGAUUACUUGGGGGAAAAGCCAAAGUACUCUCCUCGAUGAUGUUUGAAACAUUGACAUUCCAGGGAAGCCCAAUAGAGGAGCACCCUGAAAGACAAUAGGUCAUAGAAUCAUUGCCCAUCUGACAACUAAUAAUCUGACCAUAGGAAAGUCAUAGUUGCAUCACCAAUGCAUGAAAUAAACAUCUCUUCACACCAAUCUCUGCUGAGAAGAAUCUUCCUCUAGGACUAAGAAGAUACUGAAGGAGACUUGACAUGCCAAAAAGAUCUACCCCUGAGCAGUACACUAUGCACCCAUCCUGACCAAAUUGAAGAUCUAUCUAAAAGGAGUCUAAAAAAUGCUUGAGAAUAACUAUUUUGUUCCAAGUCUUAACGUUUUUAUUGAAGGAGACCUGACAUGCCAGAAAGAUCUACCCUUGAGCAGUACACUACGCACCCAUCCUGACCCAAUUGAAGAUCUGUCUAAAAGGAGUCUAAAAAAAUGCUUGAGAAUAACUAUUUUGUUCCAAGUCUUAUUGCUUUUAAUUUCCAAACCACUUUUAUUAAGAGGAUAACAGGCAGAAGCCCAAGCUAUCUUUGCCCCUGAAUGGGAGAGCGAACAAUCCUUCCAGAGAAAAGCAGCUAAGAUACUCUCAAUCCUCCUAAUGAUGGAACAAGGUAAAAUGAACAUAGAUGACCAAUAAACAUAUCUUUAAACAAGAAAGGAUUGGUCAGAAUAAGACUUCUUUGAUCUCAUCAUUUAUGAUAUCAGACUCCAAGAUACCAUCAUUUAUGAUUCCUCAGUUUCAAUUAGUGUACCCACACUGAUGCCCUCCAAUAUCCCUCUGGGGGAGAAUGAAGACUGCGAACCAUGCUUGACAGUGAUGCCCUCCAAUAUCCCUCUGGGGGAGAAUGAAGACUGCGAACCAUGCUUGAGAGUGUUGGAAGAGCAAGUGGAAUGGCACAAGCAAGUUUGAGCUGGCCAAGGAAUUUCACUCUAUUAGAAGAAAUCCUCAUCCAGAUCUGGAACCGGCCACAAGUAGAAAGCUGGAAAAAGGGUCGAAGUUGACCAGCAUUAAGUCAGAGAAGGCAAGAUAAGAGAACUUGUAGUAAAAAGAAAAAAAAAAUAGAGCAUGUGUUAUUGUGGCUUUUUCCAAAAUUUUAACUCGCAUAAAUGUCUCUAAAAGAAUACGGCACUGUAGUGCAGUUAUGGAUGCUAGGCCAUGUUAAAUGCAUGAUACAAGGCCGGCAGCUCAGGCAAGGAAAAGCAUUAUGGUUCCUCUCAUGACCUUGGCUGAAGGCCACCGAAUUCUCUAAAUCCAAAGCAUGAGAAAGUAACUGAACCAGCUAAAGGUGUCAGGUAUUUGGUUGAGACCUUCAGACACAUGGCCCAGAGGAAUGACGAGAUUGUUAGAGUAACCCCAUUAAUUUGAGCGAAAAAAUCAAGUUCCCUUAUGGCACCCGCCAAAGACAGUGGGAUGCCUUGGUUAAUAAGAAAAAAAUUUCCCCCAAUCAUGUACUGAGAAGAGACCUUCGAUGCAGCUGGUCUGUUAAAGGAGCUCUCCAGUCAGCUUCCAAGAAACUAAGAGCCUCGAUGUCAAUACAAUAACGAACUGAUUGACCAUAUAAUUGGAUCUGAGUCCUCCAAGUCAAACCAAGAAGCUCCAAGAACUCUGCCGCUGAAACUUGGUGUGCAAGAAAUGCUGAUGAAUGAAAUCCCAGUAAUGAUCAUCCAAUCUGGUGGCAUAAACCCAACCUCACGAGUAGCAAGAUGGACAGAAUUAGCACAGGCAAAGUAUUGCUCAGUCACAGCAGCCAUGAGUUGAGAGCUCGAGCGGAAAGAUGGAACAGCUCAAUGUCUGAAAUGAUCAAAGAAGCCAGCAACAUCAAUCACAUGCAGACAAUAGGCUGCAUAAUCCUCAUGGUAGUUCCUGUCAACUGUAUGCCAGUUACAGCCACUCACAAAGUUUGUUGCACAUGCUUGCUGCAAAAAAAAAAAAAAAUGUAAGCAAAACAAAUGAACAAGAAAACAAAUUUUGCUGUUGAAGUUUCCUAUAUACGAAUAGGUAAAGGCAAAUGGAAAUUGAUUAAAUAGAAGACAAGGAAUAACUAUAAGAAAUGUAUCAUUCAAUAUGAUUACACUACAUUCUUAAUCAGUUAAGCAUGUUUUAUCUUUCAUUCCCUGACAUCGUGCCAAACAUGCCCUGAGUGUAUCAUGCAUAAAUGUGCAGGUGAGCUAGUUAGGUCAAUGCAGGCCCAAAUCAACAUACCUUAAAGCUUGCUUGCAAUAUAAGUUCUAGUUUCUAUAUAUGCAAUAUUUUGACUUUUUUGUACUUACCAUCUUAGAAGUAUGCAUUUUAUAAUCCUCUGUGCUAUUGUCUUUCAGGCAUAGGGGAGCAGAAUCUCUCUGUAAUAUAUGUGUGUUUAAUGUUUCCAGGAAGAAUGGAGAAUUCAGAUGUUGCCCAUAAAUUUCUUGUUCCUCACUGUCUGGCCAGUAGUUGAGAUGAGAUUGAGAUGUAAAUCAGGAGGGAGAGAUUACCCACCGGGAGUUCCUGAAGAGAUCACGAAGGUUCUCGAGCUUGAUGUUGUAAGCUUUAAAGAUAUUCAAGCAGUCAUCAAUGAAAAUUUCAUAAUUACAUUUUUUUAUAUUUGCUCAUGUCACCUCUAUAUGGAAGUACUCUCUUGCAGAUCAGGUGGAAGCUUCAAGGACUUGAUAAUAUUUUUCAACCAUCUCAAUUUUCUCUUGGUGUAAAAGGAGCAUUAUACCCUGAUAGACAGGGAGUACGAACCAGGCUCAAAGGUCAACUAGAGAUGAAUAUAAGCUUCGUUCUUCCUCCUGUGCUUGCUAUGGUUCCUGAAAAUGUUCGCCAGCCUGUUGCAGAGUCGGUUAGGCCAUAAUAAUCUCCUUAAACUGAUGAUAUUCUUUGACAAUGGUUUAACAGAAAACUAACAAUAUACUAUCUGUGCAUGCAUGACUGUUUGUGUAUUUUUGCCCUAAUCAACCUGUUUAAAAUAUAUGUUCCAAGAACAGGUAUUAAGGGGACUGGUGGAGAACAUGAAGCUUAGAGUUAAUAGUAGCUUGCUCGCCGAUUAUAGCAAAUUCAAGCAGGAGACACCUAAGAAUCGGGUUUGAUAGAUUCAAACCUUUUGAACUUACGGAUCAAUAUAAAAGUUGCAUCUUGCUAGGCGCAUUCAUUCGAAGGUCAAAGCAAAUGGAAAAGAAAGGCCAGAUGGAGGACAACUGACUGAGUUGUAGAACUUUUUUUAUCCGGAUAGCACAUGUUUCUACUUUUGUCAAUGUUGGAGUUGAAACCAGGAUUGACUGGAGACAUGAAUAUGAUGAGGGGAAUAACUGUAGUUUGACAUGAUGUCAGCAACUUUGAUUUAUUUUGUUUCUUUUUGAUGAAUGAUAACCUUGGCAGGCACUGCAUGAUACUGUGUUGUUAAAAUAAUCUGUGAAAUAUGAUAGGAUUACGAACUCCCAUUUUUGUUGUUGUGCAGAACUGGAUGUUCUGGCCAGAAAAUGAUAGAUAUAAAAAUGAGUUUCUGUGAAAAUGUAUGAUUUCUGGAGAUGCGGGGGAAUGAACCGUCGCGCUCUACCAUUCAAGCUACAUCCCCAUUUGUUGAAAGAAACAGUAUCAACUAUUUUGUUCGGAUAUUACUUCAUUCAAGCAAGAUAUGAACAAAAUCCUAUUCAAGUACCACAGUGUGUAAUGAACAAAAUUUAAUUAGUACAACACGGUGCUUGAUCUUGUCGAUGAGGCAUGUUCUGUUUGAUAAGUUUGUUUCUGAUUGAGCAAUUGCUCCUGUAAAUAGCCUUCGCUGUGCCCUUGGUGAAUGGCAACGUUUUUGACUCUGAGAAUUCUUUGAUUUACCCAACCACAUUUCAAUCCUAUUUGUUGGAUGAUGAAUCUGAAUGCAUGAAAGUAAUGAUUGGAUCCUAAAAACAAAAGAAAGAGUUUCACCAGGCAGAGCAACUAUUUCCUCAAAUAUCUGAGACACCAUGCUCUUCCAACCAACAACAGCGGCAGUAGUACACAAAGCUUACCCAACAAUUCCACUGAGAACAUCACCAUUCUCAUCAGUAGCCUAUGGUGGAUAUCUGACUCUUGUCACCCCAUUCAGCAAACAAUGUAAAGGAAAAUGCCUUCAAAGAAUCUAGGUGAGCAGCAUUGUGAAAGAAACGCCGCCUUUUCCUUUUCAACUCAUCAUCAGCCUUGCAAACAACUUUCUUUCAGCUUCAACCAAUUCUUCAACCUCCCCUUUGUAAUUAAAUCCCUCCCACGAUGAUCAAAGCCAGAUUCCAAAAACAAUAAUGUUGUUAUCUGAUGAGUCCUUGCACGAGAGAGCAGAUUUUAAUUAAGAGAGAACUAAAACAUUCCAGUCAAGCGGGACUUCGUGAUGCGACUCAUCAAUUAAUUUCUUCAAAUAUCUGCUUUGCAUUUAUGUUUACCAAUAAUCAGAGCAAGAACAUGAACCAUGCUUGAAACAAUGAAAACGAUUCCGAUCUCUAAUUACAAUUUCUCGGUUGUAUAUCUUAGAAACAAUUUUAAUAGCAGAAUGACAAUCUUGGCAUAUGCGUAGAUUCUUGAAUAUAUAAAGAGGUGCACCAGGUUUUGUGCUUAUAUGCCCAAAACAGACUGCCAGCUUUUCGCUGUGCAAGAACAAUGCCUGCUCUUUCUCCUCCAUCUCCUCACUGCUACCCUCCCUGCCAUCAGAACCUGGAAAAACUUGGUUAGUAGUAUUGGGUACAUAACCAGCCAAUCUCAACCUUUGAAUCAUAUUAUUCAAUGCAUGAUAAAUUUCCUUUGUCAGUGGGUGUGACUUAUCCCCUGCACUGAACUGAUGAAUAUUUCCACCAACAUAAAUAGAACUCACUCCAGGGACCUUUCUAAUACCCUUACUCUUAAGGAUUUGUCUGAGUGAAUUAGCCUUGUCUUGCUUUCCUUCUAAAACAUACAUGUUCGAAAGCAAUACAUGAUAUUCUGUAUUAUGCCCAUCCAUCUGAAUCAGCUCUUGCAGAAUUCGCUCACCAAGCUGUAACUUUCCAUGGGCAUUGCAAGAACCCAAAAGGGAUCCUAGAACAACCUCAUUUGGACACAUUGGCAUCUUCUUUAUCAACAUCACAGCUUCUUCUAAAUGACCGGCCCGGCCUAGAAUAUCCACCAUACAAGCAUAGUGUUCAAUCUUAGGUGUUGUUCCAUAUUCUGAUUCCAGACUACGAAAAUAAUGGUAGCCUUGAUCAACUAAACCUGAGUGGCUGCAAGCACUUAAGACAGCCAUAAAAGUUAGAUCAUCUGGCUUAGCUUCUUCAAUCAUUUUUGGGAAUAUAUCCAACACAAAUUUACCCCUUCCAUGCAUCGCUAGCCCACCAAGCAUUGCAUUCCACGCCACCACAUUCCUUUUUGGUAGGUACUUGAAGACUUUGAAUGCCAUAUCUAUCGGGCCACAUUUUGCAUACAUGUCCACCAGAGCUGUACCCACCAUGAUAUGCAUCUCCCUUCCCAUUCCCUUCAAAGCAUAAACAUGAACCCACCUCCCCAUCAAGACAUCCCCUGAUUGUGCACACGCAGAUAAAAUUGAAGAAAGUGUAACAAAAUUCAAUCCUAACCUGAACCUCAAAACCAUUUCAUCCAAUAGUAAAAACCCUUCUCUAGAAAACCCAUUUCCCACAUAACCUGCAAUCAUUAUAGUCCAACCAACCUCAUUCCUCUCCGGCAUCUCAUCAAACACCACUCUCCCAUUCUCCACCCCUUCCCAUUUCACCACUCCCUCCAACAGUGUACUCCACGAAACCACAUUCCGCUCAUUCAUUUCACAAAAAACUCUUCUCACCUCCUCAACUAACCCACACUUCACAUACAUGUUCAUUAUAGCAUUACACACCUUAACCCCAAGCCCCAAACCCAUCUUCACAAGACACCCUUGCGCUUGUCUUCCCAUCCCUAAAUCCUCCACACGCGUGCACAAUACAAACACAGAAAUCAUGGCAACAUCGUCAAGAACAACACCCUCCUUCCUCAUUUCUUUGAAGAAAAAAAACCCUUCAGAAGGUUUGGUUCCGUGUUGAACAAGGGAGGUUAACAGGGUAGUCCAAUCUGUAACGUCUUUAUGUGAGCGGGGGAUUUGGUAGAAUAGGUGGCGUGCAGAGGAUGUAACGCCGCAGGAGGCAUACAAGUGGUGGAGGGCGUUGAGGAGGAAGGUGUUGGGGGAUGAGGAAGCAAGUCCGGAGGUUAGGAUAACGGCGUGGAGUUUUUUGCCAGUGGAAAGAGAGGAGUUGCGGGCGCAAGAGCGGAGGAGAGAGCGGAAGUGGGCAGGGAGGGAUUGGAGAGUGGUGAAGUUGAUGGUUGAACAUUUCAUAUGAAUUGGGUUUUGGACAAGAAUGUGAUUUGAUUAUUCUGAGGAUUUUCUAAGCUACCAAACCAAACAGAUGGGUCUCCUUCCUUCCUUCUUACCUGUGCAGAGUAAGACAUUGACAUUGAUAGCCAUUUUGCCGCCUCUUCUUCCUUUGUUUCUUGAGAAAACCGUAGCCGUUAAUGAAUUGCCUCGUUUUCCUUCAAUCGGGGAUCAGACUAUUGGGCUCAUUAGUUCCUUCAGAUUUUACCUGCCAAAAAAUGAAGAUAUUCUUACUAAUUUUUUUAUAUAUAUAGAUUAUGAGUUUUAUUUUGUUUUCUUUUAUUAUUGUUCUCAAAUAAAAAAAAUAAAGAUAAUGGAGAUAAAAAAACAAAGAUAAAAUUGUGCUUUAUAAUGGUGCAGAAGAUAAAGUAAUUGUUUAUGUAUGCUCUUAGGUUAUGGUGGACAAAUAAGAUAAAAUAAAAUAUAUAUAUAUUUUACCCUUAAUAUGUAUUAUUAUUAAAUUUAUAUAUUUUUAAAAAAUAAUUAGAUAUUUUUUUUAUUUAGUUUAUAUUGAGUGUUGAAAUUAACAAUAUUAUACUAACCCUAGUUAUAAAACCAGGACUGGCCUGACAAGUUGACUUGAAAUCGAGCUAAUUUUGGGCCUCGCAUGGUCCGAGUUUAAGUAAAAAUAAAGCAAGGAUUAACUUAUUUUGACUGAUCAAAAACCUAAGUCGACCCAUGAUAAAACACAAGUUAAAAACCAGUUAAUUUUUUUAAAAACAUUUUGGUCAAAACAAGGUUACUUUGAUUAUUUUUCUUUAAAAAUUAGGUUAAUCAAGUUGACCAUCCCGACUCGUGAUCUAAACUUUUCCUCGGGUCAAAUUCAGAGUCAGGUUUUAAGACUAUGAUAAUAAUUAUUUUUAUUUAUACAUUGACUUGGGUCAACCUGAGUUAGCCUUCCCGACCAGUGACUCGGGUCUUGCCCUAUCUGGUUCCUAAAUUGGGUUUUGAAACUAUAAUAAUAACAACUUUAUCCUUCCAUUGACACGGGUUGACCCUCAUGAUCUGUGACCCAAGUCUUGCUUUCAGUUGACCUCUUAAAUUGAGUUUUAAAACCAUGAAAACAACUAGUUUUAUUUUUAUUUUGAUCUCAGUCAACCCAGUUGACCCUUCCAACACAUGACCCGGGCCACCUUGCCCUCAGGUCAACUCCCGAGUCAUGUUUUAAAAUUGUAAUAAUAUCAAUUUUAUCAUUAUGUUGACAUGGGUCAAUGAUCAACCCCUCUCGUGCCCCGAGACUUACCUUGGGUCGACCUCUAAAUUAGAUUUUAAAACUAUAAUAAUAAUCAUUUUUAUUCUUACGCUAACUCAAGUGAAUUAGAGGUCUUGACCAAUGACCCUAACUUUGCCCUAGAUCGACCCCCGAGUUGAGUUUUGAAAUUAUUAUAAUAGUUAAUUUUAUUGUUACAUGCUUUAGUUGGAUAAUUUUAGAAUUGUGAGUUUUUUAUAAGGGUAUUUUAUAAAUAAAAAAUAAUAAAUAUUAUCUUUGGAGGCAUAUCUUUUUUGUACCUCUUGUUUUGAAAGUACAGAAAUUUACUAUAAAUUUUAUAAUAAUAAAUUUAUUUUUAUGUAUUUGUCUCUUAAACCUAACACAUUUCUAUUUCAAUUGCCUUUGUCAUUUUUAUUCUAGAACAAUAACCAAACAUUACCCAAUAAAAUAUCACUAGUUACUCUUUAAAUACUAUAAAAUUUUCUCACACAUAAUGAUGAUUAAACAAAAAAGAUAUAUAUAUAUUAAAAAAAUAAAAUUAGAAUUUUUUUCAAACAUAAUAUAUUUUUAACUAUAAAAUUAAAAAAGUAAUUUUCAAGUUUUUCAAAUUUAUAAUGAGUUUAGAAAACAUAUUUUAGAGGUUUUCUCUUAGUUUUUAUUUACAAUUUUUUUACGGUUUUUUAAAAGAAAAAAUAUAUCAAUAAUAUUUUUUUCUUUUAUAUACAAUCACUUUCUGGUAAUGUAAAAAACAUGUAUAUAUAUAUUUUUUUAUACUUUCAAAUUGAAUUAGUGUCAUCGAUUUAAUUUUUAUUAUAAAAUUAAUAUAAGUCUCAAUAAUCUGUUCCAUAAUACUUUCAAAUGUAAUGCUCAAAUUGUCAUCGGCAUUUAUUUGCCCACACUAGCGUCUCUCCACACGUGUCCCUGCUUCUGGGUUACAGGUGCAGGGCUCUUUUUAUGAACUCUGAUUUGAUAGUGUCCGAGGAUAUCAUUGUUUCCCUAUGCAAUCAAUAAUACCAUUUUUUUUCCUUUUAUUUUUAACAUUAAAUUUAUUAGAAAUUGAUUUUUUUAUAUUAUUUUCGUUUCUUUUCACAUGUUUGUUCAUUGGAACAUUAUCAUAUUUGUUUUUCUCUUUUUUCUUCGUUUUUAUUAAUAUUUUUUAAUAUUGAAUUUAUUAUAAAUUGAGUUUUGUUAUUUAUUUUGUUUUUUUUAUACAGGGUUAUUGUAGUCUAAAUAAAAUAAAUCUUUGCAUUGAAUUGGUGCUCAAUUUUACUAUUAUCUAUUUUUUUUUAUCAUAUUGUUAGAUAAAAGAUGGUUCCAAAAAUAAAAUAUAAUUACUAUGAAUUAAGUUUCAUGAUUUAUUUCGGUUUGUUUUUUAUUGGGUUAUCAUGAUUUCAGAAAAAAGUCCUAGUAUUGAGUUUGUAUUCAGUUUUGCAAGUGAUUGUUUUUUUAUCAUAUAAUUAAAUAAAAUUAUUUUUUAAAAAAAAGUUAUUGAUCUCGAUAAAGUUUAUAAUUCAAAUUGUGGGUUUGACAGGUUAAUUUAAAUUGAUAAAAAAUAAUCCAAUUAGUCGUUAUCUCAAUAUUUUUUGUUAAAAAUAAAUUAUCUUAAAAAUAUUUUUAAAAUCAAAUAAUAUAUAUUUUUUAACCUGUUAUUUCGACCGAGUACAUAAACAUUAUUUUUGGUCCUGUGGCGGCGUGGCUCUGGGAAUAUUUUUGUUUUCCUUUAUGCUGGGUUAUUGUAGUUUAAAUAAAAUAUAUCUUUGCAUUGAAUUGGUGCUCAGUUUUACUAUUGUUUAUUUUUUUUCUAUCAUAUUGUUAGAUAAAAAUGGUUAAAAAAAACAUAAUUACUAUGAAUUAAACCUCAUGAUUUAUUCCGGUUUACUUUUUAUUGGGUUAUUAUGGUCUCAGAAGAAAGUCCUAAUAUUGAGUUGGUAUUCAGUUUUGCGAGCACUUGUUUUUUUAUCAUAUAAUUAAAUAAAAAUAUUUUUUAAAAAAAAUUUAUUAAACUCGAUAAAAUUUAUAAUUUAAAUUACGGGUUUGACAUGUUAAUUUAAGUUGAUAAAAAAUAAUCCAAUUAGUUGUCACUUCAAUAUUUUUUUGUUAAAAAAAAAUCAUUUUAAAAAUAUUUUUUAACCUAUUAUUUCGACCGAGUACAUAAACAUUAUUUUUGGUCCAGUGGCGGCGUGGCUCUGGGAAUUAUCUAGUACCUCCUAUUUUUCUUGAAAAUUAAGGUCCCAGCCAGAACUCCCAUUUUCACUUGCAUGAACUAGGAGGGCUCCUUUGGUAAAAGAUUAGUACCAUCUUAGGGAACGGACUUUGAGUCAAGCAUGUAUCGUAUAAAUUCUCAGCAAUAAGGCAACGACUUCUAGCCCGUCACCCAGAAAGCUGAAUGCAGCAUGUAUUUGCAGCAACAAUCUUUGGUGAAUUCUCCGAUUGCUUUGGGAUGGAUACUAUUUUCGCUUUUUCUUCACGAUGAGAGCAAACUUUUCUGUUCCCAGUCAGCUAUGUAAGUUCCUGAAUUAAUCUCAUGUCCAAAAAGAAUACCGUAAUGGGAAAGAGAUGCCAUGAGUUCAUCAAAAUUCACUCCAUAUAUAAUUAAAAUGGAUAAAAAGUACACGACUAUAUAUAAAUCAAAAACUUCACUCAUAUCAGCAGUUGAUUGCAAAAUCACACACAACCGAAUUCAAAAGAAGGAAAAGCAAAAAAUCAAGUCAUGUCUUGAUAAAACACGCGGGUCGGAAACAAGGGAUAUCUUGGCUAUUUGAGUUUGAAGUACAAGAUCAAGCUGAUGACAACCACAAGGACAGCAAUAACGGCACCAAUAAUCCACUUGUUCUUGUUGAUCCUCCUUGACAUGGCAGUCAGCACUCUCUUACUCUUACCGAUGUUGCCAUCCACUCCAUGAAGCUGAAAAUAUUUGAACCAUAAAAUGAGUACAGGGCAUAUGGCGUUACUAGUUCCAAAUCCCAAUUCCAUUACUUCCCAGACUCAGUGAAACCCUUUACAGUAAAGCACUGAUUAAGAUCAAAAGGAAACUGUGGUAUGCUACCAAGGGCUGCCUUGCUAAUAAUGCAUCAGAAUUUAGAGUCAGUCAAACUAUUACUGUCAUUCAACACGUUCAAAUAUCACUAGUAAAUAAAGAAAAAAACAGACUUGCUAGAAUGAAAGUAAACAAUGUUCAGAGACGGCAGUUUGAUGCAAAUGAAAUCAAUACCGUGUCAUGGGCAUGCAAGAGAGACUGUCGCUGUUGAUGCAAAUCUUGAAGAAUAGACACACCAAGUUCCUCGGUUUCAAGCAUAGUUCUUCUACUAUCCUUGAUUCUGUCACCGGACUGAUUUAGCCUUUCUGUUGUCAUCAUCAAUCUUGAUCUUUGAUCUGCUGAGGCCUAUUCCAGUUGCCCAAACCAUAAUUGUCAAAAUAUAUAUUCAACACUAAGAACAAGAAAGAGACUCAGAAUUGCAUUGCAGAUUUUAAGAGAAGUAGCCACAAAACUACAAUGAAAUUUUGCUCACAACAGGCUAUUCAUUUAUUCAUCAAAAUAUACACCCAGAUUGCUUUUGAGUUUUGAUGCUGCACCAAAAUACAGAUUAUUACUACUAUUAUUAUUAUAGCGUGUAGCUGGAAUUAGAAUUGUAGCACACACCACAAUGACAAACAGCCUAUAUAUAUAUAUAUAAUGAAAAUCAUAAUCCUACAUAAAAUCUACCAAAACAAAUGCGUAAGAGUACAAACCAACCCAGAGAGAGAGUGACAUACCGUCAAUGAAUUAGCCAUUCCAGCUUCCAAGAGCUCAUCGCGAGCAGAUGCAUUGAGAUUACCAGAACCAAUUCUUUUAACCUCAGUUUUCAGAUUGUUCAAAUCUGACUUAUACUCCCUCAGCUUAGCCAGAAGAACCGCCUUCACAUUCGGCUGCAAGUUUCUCGCUUCCAUAUCCAUUUUCCGAAUCUGCAAAAUUAAACUUUUUAAGAAAUAAAUAAAGAAUAAUACAUAAAUUCCUGGGUGAGGAGAAUCAGGAUUAGGAUUUUUUUAAAGGUACCAAAGAUUCAGCAUCCUCUAAUCCAGCUCUUAUUUCAGAUAUCUUUUGCUUCUUUUGCUCUGUGCAAAUAAAUAUAUAUUCCACGAAAUCAAAAUCAAAAUUAAAAUCAAAAGAAAAUGAAAAUAAAUAAUUGAGAAUACGUACGUACCUCUAUCAAGAGCAAGAGCAGCGGUGCAUUUUCUGGAUAAAUUAGCAGAGAGCUCGCAGUAUUGACGCUCGUAUCCUUCAAAUAUUUCGUUCAUCUUUUCCAAUUUUUCACCUCUCUAUCUAUCAAAACCCAAUUCCUCAGUUCAAUCAGUCAAUCAAUCACGAUCGGAAAUCCAACUACCUGGUAUGAUCGGAGAAACUGAUCGGAUUCUGGUAACCGUAGCUUCUCGAAUCGGCGUUGGUGAUGGUUUUUUCAAACGACAAUGCACGUUUGCUUGGGACAGGACACGAAUGAGUAUAGUGGGAGGAGAUAUGUCACGUGUCGGUUUGUUCGGUCAUGUAACUCAUGUCUGUUGUGUUGUCUUCGGUAUGUGCGCCAUCUGGUGAGAUUAGUUUUCUCUCCUGUAAGAACCGGGGAAUAUCCGGUUUAAAUUUUGUAGAGUUAUUUCAAUAACGUCGUCGUUAUAACGAAAAAUUCAGUACCUAUACUUGUAAAACUUUUUUAGUUGAGAGUCUCUACUUUUUUUUUUUUUAAUAUAUAUAUAUAUAUAUAUGCGCGCGCGCGCAUGCAUGCAUCUCCAUUGAUGAUGUGACCUUUUUUAAGGUUUUGGUGUUUAGAAAAAUAAAAAGAUUUGUUAAGUGAAAUUGAAUUGUAUGUUUAGGUUCAAUUUGCUUUAUCUCUUUCAUUUCUGCUCUUCAACUUAACCUUUUUAGCAAACUUAGUCUGAAACAUAUUGCCGCAAAUAACAAAGAAAAUAACAUAAAAAAAUUUUAUUUUCUAGUUUAAAUAGUCCCUUGCUCGAAUAAUCAUUAUUUUUAACUCUAGGAUCAGUUAUUAAUUUUAGAAAUUACAGAUAGACUAGGAGAAUCAAUUCUAACUUGAAAAUCUUUGUUGUCAUCUCUAGUUUUUCCUUGUAGGGUUUGGUUUCCUUACUUUACUUGGACAAAAAUAAUGAUUCUUACCUUUUUAGUUGUUGACUUUAUUAGUUUUUUUCUAGACUAGAAAAAUUAUUGUAUAAUCCUCCCUACUUUAGAAAACAAAUUUGAUACCCCUUAGUUUUCUUGGUGGUCUAGGAAACUUUUUCUUUUUGAAUGCUAAGAAUCCUAUAACCGCUAACUUUAAUAAUUCUAAUAUUAGAAAAUCUUGCUCAAAUAAGGAUUUCAUAGAGUUGUUCACAUUAGGCCCAUGUUGUACUUGGAUCAUGUGAUAUUUUUUUAAGGUUAUGGAGUUUAGAAAAAUAAAAAGGAUUUGUUAAGUGAAAUUGAAUUGUAUGUUUUGGGUUUUGUUUAGGUUCAAUUUACUUUGUAUCUCUCAUUUUUAAUCUUUAACUUAACCUUUCUAGCAAAAAUUAAAAUACAAGUCUAAAAUAUACUGCUACAAAUAAAAAAGAAAAUAACAUAAAAAAGUUUUAUUUCCUAGCUUAAAUAGUCUCCUUGCUCGAAUAAUCCUUUAUUUUAGUUCUAGGAUCACUUGUAAAUUUUAGGAAUUACAAAUAGACUAAGAGAAUCAAUUCUAAUUGGAAAAUCUUUGAUGUCGUCUCUAACUUUUCCUUGUAGAAUUUGGUUUCCUUGCUUUACAUGGAUAAAAAUAAUGAUUCUGACUUUAUUAGUUUUCUUCUUAGACUAAGAGAAUUAGAAACUUCUUCUUUUGAAUGCCAAGAAUUCUCUCCCAUUAAGAAUUUGAUCUUGAUGAAUUUACCUUGCACAAAAAGAAAAAUAACCACUAACUUUUAAUCAUUGUAAUAUUAGAAAAUCUUGCCCAAGCUUUCACAGAGUUAUUAACAUUAGGCCCAUGUUGUAUUUGGAUUGGACUCUUCUUAUAUUUGGAUUAGAUGAAUCAAAAGCUGAUCUUGAAGCUUUAUAAGUGUAAUGUGCUUCUCUAAAUCCAUCUUGGCUCUUCGCUCUUGGCUCAUGGCUCAAACGUGCUGAACAAACUUAUUCAAUGUUUUUUUAAAUUUUUUUGUCAUAAUUUGUUUUUGUAAUUAGUCCAUUUGGCAUCUUCAAUGGGUCAAUAAAGUAUAUAGUUGGUAUAGUCAUGUAGUUGAAUUGGUUCUGAUAAGAUACUAUAACACAAGAUUAUCAAGGAUUGCACGUACAUGUCAUUACUAUUACUACGGGGCUUGACAUCUACACUUCAAAAACUCUUUCUUGAAAUAUUUUUGGAUUUUAGAAGAACAGCACUUCAAGAAUAUUCGCAUUUGAAAACCAGUCAACCAUCUUCAAUCAACACAUGAAAUCAUUAAUAACUAAUUUCUUUGUUCGAGGAUUAACCAUGGAUCCUCCAGGUGGAGGAACAAGAAUGGCCCUUGACAACUUCAUUAAUCUGGAGCCAAAAUCAUACUAUAUAUAUAUAUAUAUAUAUGUCUACUAGCUAGCAUGCUAAUCACUUGCCUAAUCUACAGCUUAGUACGUAAUAGUUAAUGGAAUAUUUUAAAAUGGAAGAGGAGGAAUAACCAUAAGCUCCCAAGUGGCAAAGCUUUGGCCAAUUCAGGACUUGAAAAUUAACCACUCUAAUAUAAUUAAUUAGAUUAUAAACUAGCUCUCAUUAACGGGUCUAAUUAAGCAGCAGCAUCAACGGGUCAUGGCUUCUUCUUCUUUUCUUUUCUUUUUUUUUUAAAUUUUGUUUUGAGAAAUUUAUUCGUUUGUUUCUCUAUCACUCUCUCUUCCUUGUAGAGAGGAUUCUGUUUUUGGCUGGUUAAGUCGUCGGGCGGCGCAUGCAAGACUUAAUUUCUUGCUGCUACUAUUACUUUGAAAAAUGUAGCGUAGCCAACACCAAAAAGUGUGAAGCUGUUGGCAUCUAUAUAUGAUCUUGUUCGUCUCUUCUUCUGUCAUGGCCCUACAGGACAACCUCCCUUCAAGAUCUUAGACGUCAUAGUUUACAGUUUCUUGAAUUUGUUUAGAUUGGAGAGAAAAGUGAGAGCAAUUCAAUAAAAUUAUUCUCUUCCUUGUUAUGCAUCAUCAUGACUUGCUGUAAAACUUUCACUUCAUGUUAAAUUUUAGUUUUUUUAUUAUUCAAAAAACAUUAAAAAAAAAAAGCAUAUUAUCCUCAUCUGGCUAAAUGUUACUUGAUUGAGGGGGAAAAUCGUAUUUUAUUAUUGUAAUUCAUUGUAAAAUGAGUCUACUGUUACAGUAAAAACAAUCAUUUGCAGCCCCUUUUCUUUUUCAGUUUAUUUCUAUUAUAAUCCCACCAAUUUGUGAUUAAGUACUAAUCUCGGCAUGUCACCUUCACUUCAAUAUUUAAAGAUGGCUUUGCUCUGCUAUUUUUUAAACUAAACGGUUUCAUGAUAAUAAUGUUCCAAAGAUGGAUUAAUAUAAUAUAUUGUUUAAUAAAUAAAAAGGUUUAUAUAAUUCAUCAUGUCUCCUUAUCGUGCUCGGGCUUUGGAGAAAUCGACAAUUUUAGACUUUUAUCAGCAAUUAACAAAGCAAAAAUGAUUAGUUUUAUGCUACACAUGACUAAUAAUCCCAAGUAAUUUUCUUGACUUUUCGGGGCUUGAAAAUGACUCACAUGGCAGGUUUCCUUUCAUUUUAUAGUGAAUCAGGUUUUACUACGGACAAUUUCGCAUGUGAAUGAUUACAUGGUUUUCAACAUUCUAUCAGAAUAACAAGAAGAAUACAGAAACACAAGAAAACAACAGUGUUACUGCUAAGAACUGAAUCACACUUGACAUUUAUGAAAUGUGAAGUGCAAUAAUUUGGCAGUCCACAGCAUCCAUGCAUGGACAUCUCUGCAGGAAAUGGAUGGGGCUGUACUGUAGUUUGUUUUUGUUGGAGCUCAUUUUGGCUAGUUAAAUAAUGCAUUAAUCUCUCCAUGUCUUACAAUAGAAAAGCUACAAUUUAGUCUCUUUCAUGACAGUGAUGAUUUCUAUGUUUGUCUCGUGGGUGCUUGAAGACAGGUUGCUUAGGGGAAUCAAUUGUAUUUCUUAAUUCAACUCUAUCAAUAAGUCUAAGCAAUAAAGAUUGAUGAAAAGGGUAGAUUGACUCUUUCAGGCUUAGAUUUCAUCAUUAAAAUUUAAAAAAAAAAUCCCUGUAAACAAUAGCAUUGUAGGGAGCAUUAUACCCUUUGUCUGAGUCAAAGCAAAAUUCAUGGAAUUAGCAUCGCCUGACAAUAUAUCCACUUGGUGGUGCUCCCUCACUGUAAUUUAAGAGAAAACUCCACCUGGUUCCAUAAGAGGCUUAAACUGAAAAAAGAACAAGGGAGUAUGAACAAACAAGACCAUUUCAACUCUCCAUUCUCAUUUGACAGGAUCUUCAAGAACCUCGUAUAAAUGCCACUUGACCAGCCAACACAACAUACCCAGAGCAAUAAACAUAGCCUCCAACAACACAAAAGAGAAUAUAAAGAACUUAGUGCUCAUAAAUAAAGAUAUGGCUAGGAAGAGAAAGGUCAGUGAAAGUGUUGAGGACAAGAACUCUAGUGAAGGAACCAUGGCUUGGGAUGAGAUGGUCAAGGAAGCUGCAGCAGCAGCAGCACUAGGAGGAGCUAGGAGAGCUAGAAAGAGAUUUGUUGGUGUUCGACAAAGGCCAUCAGGUAGAUGGGUGGCUGAGAUUAAGGAUACCAUACAAAAAAUAAGGGUGUGGUUAGGCACCUUUGAUACUGCUGAGGAAGCAGCAAGAGCCUAUGAUGAAGCUGCUUGCUUGCUUCGCGGUGCUAAUACAAGAACUAACUUCUGGCCUUGUUCUCCAACUUCUUCAACAACUCCAGCUCUUCCCUCAAAGAUUACUAACCUUCUCCUCCAAAGGCUUAAAGCAAGAAACAACUCUUGUGAUCCUUCCAAAACCUCUCAGCCCCACAAUCUGCAGCAAAAACUAGUGGAGGAAUAUAGAGAACCAGCAACCGAUUUCUCAGACACCCAAUUCACUGAUUUCCUCGACCAUCCAGACGAUUACCCCGUGUGCAACGACGACACCAUUAACACUAAUGCUAGUGCAUUUGAUUGCACGACAAAAAGUCUUGGGCCAUGCUUAACAGAGAAAGAAGAUAGCGGGGGGAAAGAAUGGGACUUCGACUAUAGCUGGAGUGAUGUAGCGCAGUCAUCUAGUGGUGAUGGUAACAACUUGGGAGGUGAAGCAGAAGAAGAUGGAGAGGAAGAGGAAGAAGGGAACGACAUAGGAGCUUUGGAUUUCCAUUUUUUUGAUGAUGUUGGAUCUCCUUUUUACUACUCUCCUUUUGAGAUUGCUGAAGAUAUUGAGGAGCCAGUGGAGCCUGAGUGCUAUGGAGAUGAGCCUUCUAUGCUUAAAGCAGCCAUGAAGAGAAUGAAAUAUGAGAGGAAGUUCUCAGCUUCUCUUUAUGCUUUUAAUGGAAUCCCUGAAUGCUUAAAGUUGAAGCUUGGAUCAGGAAAUGCCAAGGGAAAAGGACGUUCAGAUCAAUUAACCGAACUUCGAAAUGCAUGUAACGGUAGAAAGGAGGGGAAUAGAGCAGAAGAAGAAAGCUUGGAAGUGAUGCAGAAACAGGAUGAUUACUUACAAAGCUCAACGGAAAUGGGAUCUUCUUCCUCUUCUUUGAUUAAUGAUGGUGAAUUGUCACUUUGGAACACUCUUGAUCUACCGCCAAUCUGCUUCAUAAACUAAUUGACAGAGGAUCUUCCUUUCAUAUGCAUUUCACGCUCCAAUAUAUUAACCAUCCCACAUUCCAUUUUUCACAAUUGCUGAACUUUAGAUUUUUGUUGACAUGUAAUAUUAGCUUUCUAGCCAACAACAGAAAGCACCUUUUAAUCUUGUAUCAAGUUCAGAAGUCAUGAACUGUUGAAGAAAAUUCAGAUGUAUAGAGCUAUGAAGCAUUUGAGGCUUGAUUGAAUCAUUUGGACAGCAAACAAAAAAAGAACUGUGUGUCUGUUCUGCUCUUUUAAUUCUUAACUGAUAAUAAUCACUCUGAAAGGAUUAGUGGGGUGAUUGUCAUGAAUUCUAGUUCUUGUUUUCCAGUAAGAAAAUCUAAAGACGGAAAGCAAAACGUUUUGCAGGAAUUUAGGAAUCUGGACUUAGCCUUGAACGUGAAGCUAAAUAAUCUCCGUUAGUAAAGCUAGCUCAUGAUGCAAGAAUUGAGGCUAAGAGUAGUGAUGAACAAUAUCUGGCUUUGACCAGAGAAACCAUUACAAGAAAGCCUAGGAAGGGAUCUUAGUUUUUUCUCGUUGGAUUCUUUUCUGAGGAGGUAGCAGAGCAAUGAGGUUUAUGAGACAGAAUAUUAUUUGCACUGGUGAAAACAAACUGCCAUCAGCCAAAACCUAUUCUCUAUGACUUCUACCAUCUUCUUUUGGUAGGUUGGAACAUUUGGAUUGCCAUGCCAAUACUCCAAGAUGAAGUAUUUCUCUUCAUUCGAACAAAAAAAACAACAACAGGAUGAAAAGAACAGAAAAAAAAAAAAAAACCACGGCAGUUGGUUGUUUUGAGCAGAGUGUCAAGUGAAUGGUGCCUUCCACUUCUACCGAAACAAAAGCAGUACAGCAAUAGAGUCAACUGUUUUUAAAAAUGAAUUAGCAAGUACGAUCAAACCCUUUUCUUCUUUUUCAUGGCCUGGCCACUUUACAGCCAUAAACAUGGCAGGAGCACCUAUGCACGCAUGUUCAGGCGUUUUAGCCUAUCAUCCUGCGCUGAAGUUAGGGUAAUGGGGUUACCACUCAUGUAUCGUUUGUUAUCCUAGAUUAUCAGCAAACCUUCCACGUAUCCGCCGUCAGAGCGAUACUGUUUACCAAGGUGAAAACAGGGCAGAAAAAAGAGAGACAAAAACAGGAAUCUCCGUGGUUAUAUAUGGCAAGAGGCAUUCAAAGAUUUGCCGUUCAUCACACCAAAGACAAUAGAUAAUUUUUCAAGAGUAUGACUUGCCAUUCAAGUAAUCGAACAACACGUCUCUCUCUCUCUCUCUCUCUCUGAGAUGAUCCAUCAUCGGACCAAAUAGAGCCAACAAUUAAUGUGUUCAACCAAAGCUUGCUCUUGAUGCUCCCACCAAAUAUAGGCAGAGGCAGAACUAGAAAAUCUUAACUGGGGUUGCCAUCGUAAAAACUAUAAGAUUAAAGAGCAAGGGGGCUAAAUGCAUAACUAUUAUGAAAAAAAUUGAAAAUUUAAGAGCUAAAAUUAAAAUUUUCUUAAAACUUUGGGGGUGCCAAGAUCCCUCAAAGCUUGUCAUAGAUCUGCCCCUGCCUGUAGAGAUAUGGUCAUUUGUCCGUAUAUGAUUUGCCAAAAUCAAAUGAAGAGAAUCGUAUAAAGAGUCAAAUAGUUGGGAAGGGUGACAGAAAUUUUUUUUUGUACCAUUUACACUUGAGUUACUGUUUGUUGGCUUACGUUAUAUAUAUUUUUUUAAUGUUAAUAUGACUCAAGAAAUCAAGGAUUAACAAAAUAGCCUAAUUUUUAUAUGAGACCGUGAUUUUUUUUAUAAAAAAUAAAAAAAUAAUUUAAAAUAAAUCAAAUAUUGAAUGUUAAAAUUUAUAUAAAAAAAUCAAUUAAAUCUAAAAAUUCAUUUUGAUCCAUGUUUUUUACCCAAAAACACAAAACAAUAAUAAUAAUAAUAAAAUUAAUAACACCCUAAAGAUCUAUAUAAACAUGUUUUUACCUUCAAAAAAAUCCAAAAAAACAUUUUAAAAAAAAUAACACCCUAAAAACAUAAAUAUACAUGUUUUUGUCUUUAAAAAAAAAGUUCAAAAACAAAAAAUAAACUCGAAAUCCAAAAACAUCCCAAUAUUAAAUAUCCUAUCAUAAACAAUUUCGAGGUAAAAUAACACACCGGUAAGACUAUCCUUAUUAAGGAAAAGUUUUGACACCAAGAUAAAUAAAAAAUAAAAAAAUGAAAUCUUGGGUCAAAAGGGAAUUUUUGAAAAACAAAAAGGACUAAAAAUGGGUAAGUUGUAAAGUUAGAGGGCCAAAAUUAAUAUUUUGAUCAAUUUCAAAACCAUCAAGUUUCUCCAUGUUUUUCAAUUUAAUCCCCAUCUUUCAAUUUCAUUGGCCAUUGAAGGAUCCAAUUGAGAGGAAAAAAUGUGAAAGAAUGAGCAUUAAACAUUUGAGCUCUAUAAACUAAUUGCUAUCUCGUUGUUGCAUGGCUCAGGUCGGAGCAACGCGCCAUCGGACGUUCAACAGGCAGUCUCACGAUCGGGCAUUGUCAUUCUCAAAAGAAAUACUAAUGGCAGUCCAAUUUUGAGGGCUCAUUUGAGCCUUUUAAGUCCAAAUCACGGAAAUGGAUAGAAGGAAGAAAAUUAUUUGGAGCAUCACUCAGUAGUGACAAGCAUCGGCUGUCGGGUGAAGUCUAGCUGGAUAGCUUGAAAUACAUAAUUACAAUAACAUGUGCAUGCACAAUUAUAGUUACCAUAAUGGCAUAAUUUCAUGAAAAGCAGCUAGAUUCGGUUAUCCUUUCUAAGAAAUUAUAAGAACAGAAAUGGUUACAUAACUUUUGAGAGAAAUCCUAGUUAAGAUAAAACCACUGUAAGAAACAAGACUACUGGUGCUUUUACCAUCUGCGCUGUAGGAUGUUGGCCUCAAGCAACUACUACUACUCUCAUGAAACCAAGGGAAAAUUUAAGACAUUAAAGACAAAAGGCUAAGCCGAAAAGUUAUAUACAUCAUGAGUGAAUUCCUACUCACAGGCAUGACAUGAGAUCCAUGGCAAAGGUCUUCUCGAAAGGCUACCUACAGGACCCGGAGCUGAGCUAGAAAAGCUGCACAAAGAUCCAAGAAGAGAAACUGCGGGCCCUGUACUCUUUGCAAGUCCAGCAGGUACUUCUCGUCACGAGUUUUGUAUAGCUGUCACAACCAUUGAAAUUGCAAAAAUAUUAGCCAUCAUACUCUGAAUCAGCUCAAUGCAACAAUCUACAGAGCUACUGACAUGAAAAAUGAUCCUUUAUCAGCAGUGCGACAUUUGGAAAUGACUAAGCAAAGGCAAGGCAAGGCAAGAGAAGCAAACUCCACUAUAUCUUUUGUCCACACACCGAACCCAACAAGUUACAAACUUUCCUGUAUAAAUUCUUUCAAGGAGGGUCGAAGUGCAAUAACUAAAGAAGCAAUCAGAAUGGUUAACAUCACCUGCACUUCAAACUUGACCACAUUUGGUGAGUUAAUGAUUCCAUCAUUUUCAAUAAUGGUGGGUUCAUCCCCAAAGAAAUGAUUGUAGUGUGCAGGAUGGUUAACCAUUCCUUCAUGGUGACCGGGAGUGCCUGGAAUCCACCUGCACUUCAUAUUGUACUGACCAAUUUUCUUCCAGCAUACAUUCAGUUCUUGCAAAGCUUUGAGAACUUCUGUCAUUAUUUCACGAGGGUGGGCUCGAGACUGUCAAAGAGUAGGGGGAGAAUAUGAUCAAUUAUAAUUGUAACACAACCACAGGGAGUCAUAAUAAAGCCAUUCACUCCAUCAUCAUUGCACAUGUUCCACAAACUAUGACUUGAAAUAGUUGCCUAGACUUCCCUAACAUUAUAGGUAAACAAGUAGAUUUCAAUUUCUUUGAAUAUCAUGUUACUUGUAUAGGAAGGCAUCACAAAACCUUGAACUCUUUAGCAGAUCAAACAAUCAAACCCCCUUCACUCAUACUAGAAAUUGACUCAUAGCAUCCGACACCAUUGGAAACACCUAAAAUGCCAAGAAACUUAACCUGAAGGCCAAGAGCCCAUUUCCUCUCCACUGGGAACUGUGAUUUCAAACCCAUUCCUUGAUAAUCCAUGAAUCCUGGAAGGCGGUGUCCUCCAGCUGGAGACAAAGGUUCGUUUGGAUGCAUUCGAUUGAAUGCAGUUUCCUAUAAAAUCCAGAUAAAAAAGGGUCAAAAUGAAAAUGGAAACAAAAAAGAGUCCAGUGUUUUUUUCUCUGGUCAAAUAAAAAGGGGGGGGAAAAAUUGUUGACAGUAAAAUAUAACCACUGAUCACAAAAUGAUUGAAACAGUAGUGCAUGCCGCAUGGAGUAAUAUCCCACUUUGGCACACACAUAUGCACAAGAUGCCAAAAUUUAGAGGUUUCAAUCUUUUAAAAACCAUUAUCAACUCAAGAUAACUUCCUACACAUAAAAAACAAUGGGGACACAAUUUUCUUCCUCUCUAUAGUAAACUUGGAAACCAAACGCACCAUAGUUUCUUGGAACUCAGCUCCAAGAUAGCCAUUGGAAACACGAAAUCGAUUGUCCAAUAACAAAUAGUAAGCAACAGUAGCCUGAAAAAAGCAUGGUAAGUGAUGAGGCCAUAUCUUAAUAUUGUAUACAAAACGAGUUUUAAGAGAUCAAUCAGAGUCCAAACCUCAUUUUGCAUUCUGUUGCGAAGAGAUUCAAUAAGUUGGAUCCUGUCAAAUCCCAUCUUGACAACGUCCUGGAGAAUCUCCUCGUCAAUCUGCAGCAAUGACAACCAAUGGUUCAAUAAAUUACUUGAUAAAUCUCUUCAAACAUAAUAAAAAACCAAACCUUUUUAGCUUGUUGCAAUGUAUCUGGUGGGGGCACUGCCAAAUAACGGGGAAGGCGAGCUUGGAACCAUUGGUGUUGACGAAUUUCAGGAAUGGUCAUUCGCUUCAUUGGAUCAACCACAAGCAUCCUUGGGAUGAGAUCUCUUGCUCCGGGUGAUAAAUGGCUGGGAAGAGUAUAUAUCCCAUCCUAAAGAACAAAAUGAUAUAGACAGAGAACAUGAAAGUUAAAUCCAUGGGCAAAUGAAAUGCAAUAAAAUGAUCCUAAUCUUAGAGAACUCACGAUGGCCCAUUGACUUAAGUUGUUACAUAGACGAGCUACUCCAUAUUACAAACCAUGGCAACACUCCCUAUCCUAACAACAAGUGAUUCAUAUUCUUAAAUCACACUCGGCACAUGCUAGGUGAGCCUAGCAAAUGGCACAGUCAUGAUCAAAUGCAAGAGAAUCUACAUAGAAGAACAAGCUAAAAAAAACAGGUAAUGUAACAUGGGCCACAGCUGGACAGCUAGUGAUAAUAUGUUAGAGAACUUAUAACCAACUCAAAAGCUUAAGAUCAGUGCCUCACUUAAAUUCUUAUUUUUAUCUAUUGGUCUUGGAAUUACUGAUUUUCUAAACUAUUACGUAAUGAGAUCAUAAAUAACAAAUAUUUAAAAUAAAGUGUUUGGCCUGGAAAUUAUAUUGCAGAGUCUUCGAAUCUAACAAAAAAGUUUCAAAUAACAAAAAAGAACUCUGGGACACAUAGCAUUCAGCAGAAAUACAAAAUUCAUGUCAAAGCAUGCAUAACUGAAUCUAUAAGAUAAAAGUAAUACAUGGAAAAUUAAGUCUCCAAACUAUAUUAGCUCGACAAUAUUCUAAAGAUGUUGAUGACCUGAAACCAUGAGUGCGUUGAGUGAAAGGUCAUUAGUUAUGCCCUGAUCCUAGUCAAAAGAAUUCCCAAUACCUUUAUUUUCUUAAAGAGGUUGGGAAUGUUUUCAUCAUCGAAAGGUAGUGUACCGCAGAGAAGAGCAUACAAUAUAACACCACAACUCCAUACAUCUACUUCAGGUCCAGCAUACAGUUUCCCAGAAAUCACCUGCAAAAUAAAUAAACAAAUCGUGCAUAAAAUAACCUUCAAGGUAAAACCAAUACAUGGGCACCUGUAUUUUACAUUAAAUAGAUGGGUGUACGGAGAGCCUCCUUUUUUCAAUUAAAUCUUUAUAACAAGUAAUUCCACAACUCCAUACCUCUGGUGCAGCAUAGUUUGGGCUUCCACAACUUGUCUUAAGGAAAUGACCAUCACGCAUUAUAUUGCUCAACCCAAAAUCAGCUAUCUUCACAUUCCAUUUAGAAUCCAAUAACAGAUUCUCAGGCUUGAGGUCUCUAUGAACAACCAUAUUCCUGUGGCAAUAUUCCACACCGGAUAUUAUCUGCACCAACACAGAAUUUUGCACACCAUAACUAAAUAGCAAAAAUGAAGGUAACCUAUAUGAGGAUUGUGAUGCAUGUUAGUAGGCAAUAGUACUUGUUGGAAGAAAUUCCGUGCUUCAUCUUCCUGCAAUCUACCCUUCUCCACAAUAUAAUCAAAGAGCUCCCCAGACUUCACAUACUCCAUGACAACAUAUAUGUCAGUUGGUGUUUCUAUAACCUCAUAAAGUCGUAUAAUGUGGGGAUGCAUAAACAAUCUCAAGAUUUUGAUUUCUCUUCUCACUGCAAAAGGGAAGAAGAGGGAGCACAUAAGCAAAUCAAAAUGAACUGCAUCAGUCAUUGAAAAUUUGAACAAAACUAUCAUGCACGAGGAGAGGAACAAAACCUUACUUCAACUCCCCAAAAAACUGUUAAAAUAACCUCAGAUAUAAAUCUUUAUAAUCUCGGUAUUGCAUUCUGUAUUUCAGGUUUCAAAUGACCUCCUUUUAAUCAUAUAAAUACUGUUAGUCACUAUGGGAAAAAUAUCAUCCAUGCAAAUCAUGAGAUGGGAGCACCCAUCAUCAAAGAUAAUGGAACAGCCAGAUUACCCAAGCAAACCUACUCAUUUUGAUAGAAAAGAGUCAUGGAUCAUCCAUACCUUUUUCUUCCAUCUCCAUGUUUUUUAUCUUACGACGGUUAAGUAUCUUGACAGCAACUUUGUGCCCAGUCAAUGCAUGCUCUGCUAUUUUUACCUUUCCAAAGGAACCGAUUCCAAGAGUUUUACCAAGCUUGUAAUUUGGUAAAUACAUAUCCACACCACUGCUGCCUCUGUGAGAUGGCCCUUCCAUUUUCCUAUUCAAAUGGAAUAGAGAAAAACAUAAAUUCAGAGAAACAUGAAAGCAACUACACAAAUAUAUCAUGUGUUGUAUGUAUGCACUAGCAUGUUGAGGUGGGCUUAGAACUGGAAGCAUCAAUAAAGCACAUCAGCAUGGCAUUUCAAGGAAACUAGUUCAAUAUAAAUAGAAGAGGUUGGCUUAUAAAACAACAUUUCAUGCAUAUGUAGAAAUAACCUUCAAGCAAUGACACAAGUGCUAACUCAUAUGCACCAAUCAACAACCCAAUGUGUCAGUUGAAAUCAAUUACGAAAACCAGGUAUGGUAGCAUGCUAAUAACAGAGGCUUCAAGAGCACCUAUAUGAACAGUCUCCAGAUUCAUUGUUGAUAAAAACCCACAUGUUGUGGGAAUGGAAUCAAAUAAUUGCCAUGAAGCAAUGGAACCAUUCAGAAUAACACCUCUAACAGCCUUUGAUUGCCAGUAACAGCCAUUGCAGCAAUCAAUGUGUUGCAGCCAUUUCACUUGACACUGUCGAUGUAUUACUUUCAGGAACACAUCGAGACAUCUCUUAGUUAUGCAUAUAUUAAGCUCGGUUGCGAAAAACUUUAAUCAAGUAAUAAGGUAAUGCAGGUAUUUAUUCAUUUAAAGUAUUAAGAUAUUCAUUUAUAGUAAAACUAAUAAAACCUGUUCACUAAAGAAAAUUUGUUAAGUUUGUUAAACAACUGAGCAACGGCAAACAGCCAUGACCAUUAAGCAUCCCCCACGAUCACCACGGCAUCAUGAUCCUAACUGAAAUUUAAAACCCUGGCUGUGGGUCCCACUGGUGGGGUUUCACGCUAUAAUUUCACCAGCAGUGAGAUCUAUAGAGCAUCUAAAUACUCACUUUAAUAAACAACUGCUCUUACCACUGCCCUAUUAUAAAUUCUACUGUCCAAGCAGUUCCCUUAUUUCCUAAGAUUUUGAAGAAACAACAGCAGCCGAUGAAUAAAAACAGCAUGCUGAUAAGCAGGCAUGCAUGGUUACAAUCCAAUACAAAAGAAAGACUAACGAUCACAGAUACAAAUGAAAUAAAGACAGUACAAAGAAAUAAAGACAGUACAAAGACAAUCACAAGCAAUUUCAAAAACCCAUUUAAACUCUUACAAAGCAGUAAAAUAGAAUCUCAUAAAUCCCAAGAUUUCACAUUUCCAAGAAAGAUCAGUUAAUCCCUAAUGCACACUCAUAAUUGAUGAUUUCAUCCAAUUCAAAUAACAUGCCAGAGAAUUUUUAGCCCUAAUUGAACAACUCAACCUUAAAAAAAAAAAAAAAAGAAGAAAAUCGAGAACCCAUUAAUAAAAUAAAAUAAGAUUGGGAACUUAUCAAAAUCAGAUAAAAUUAGGCUCUGAUUGCACAGGAAAGAAGAAAAUAAUGUAAAUUUGAAUCAAGUAAAGAACCCUAGCUUCCACAGAUCUUAAAUAAAACCAUAUAAAAAAAAAAACAAACAGUUAAGCCAAACAUUUUACAAUCAAAUACAUACACAGACUUACCUAGAAUGUGAGAAUCCGAGCUCAAAAAAGAGAAGAAGAGAGAGAGAGAUUGCAAGAUUCUAUAACGAGACAGUUGUAAUCAUGGAUUAACGAGAAUUAUUUUUGUACUAAAACGUAUGAGACUAAUUACUUUUGUUGUUAAUUCUCUCUCUUUCUCUCUGUGGUUGGUUCUUGUUUGUGUGCUCUCUCUCUCUCUCUCUCUCUCUCUCUCUGGGAGUUACAGAUUCUCUCUCUCGAGAAGACAACAAAAUCCAUCUUCAUCUCUUUUUUCUUUUUUCUUUUUUUUUCUCUCCUAUUUUUCACUUUCUCAUUUAAUGACUCGAAUUGCCCUCGGUGUCCUUGAUUAAUGGCUACGGUGUCCUGUGUUGGGCAUUGUAAUUCUUUUCAGGUGUUGGGGGUAAAUAUGGGAAUGAAAUGGUAAACGAGGAGUAGGUUGUGGUAGAUUCUCCUCACAAUAAAAGAGGUAAGAAAAAGAAAAGAUUGAUUAGUGAAAAAUUAGAUCAGAAAAUAAAUAAAAAGAGAUGUUUAAAUUAAGCAUAAAAGGGUAUUAGUAAUUUAUAGAUAUUCUUUUUUUUUAUUUAUUUAGAAAAAAUAGAUGAAUGAAACGGAAGGCAGCUAUGGAUAGGUUUGUAUGACACCACAUGCUGAGUCAUAAGCAGCUAAGGAUUUAUGUUCUCUUGUCGUUUGAUUUCAAUUGAAUGAUGAUUUCAUAAAAGAAUUUUCGUAGUCAUACCACAUUUCUUUCUUUUUUAUGAUAACAAUAUUAAUCCAAGAGAAAACAAAUAACAAUAUUUCAACAAUUAUGUUGUCCUAAUGUGAUUUAAUAUGAUUCAAUGAUCAUAUUAUUUUAUUUUUGAAAAAAAGCCAUUUUAUUUAUUUAACAAAACAUUAAAAUAUGAGGUUAAAUCAUAUAAUCACAUUCAUGAAAUAAUAUUUACUACAACAGUAUUUUGUAUUUUUUUUAUUUAAUCUCACCCUUUAAUAACUCAAUUUUAUUUUUUUUAUUUUUUUUUCAAAUUGAUACUUCAAUAGUGUUUUUUUUUUAAAUUGUGCUUAAUAGUUUUUUCAAUUUUUUUGUUGGGUCAUUUUUUAAUCUCAUGAAUUUAAUUUUUUUUUUCUCUAUUUCAACUUUCAACAAUAUAUUUGUUGGAGGUGGUGCUUUAUUUUUUUAUUUGUUUUCUAUUAAUCUAUCAUGAUGUAAUGAUCCAGGUCGCAGGUUUAAUAGGUUAACGCGCAUUGAUGCGGGUUGUUUUUUUUGCCUUUUUUUUAAUUAAUUUUUUUUCGAUUUCGUCAUUUAACAUAGGGUUGGUUGGAAAUUGAACUUUGUAAUUGUUUUUUAUUUGUUUUUUUUAGAUUGUCCCAAUCUCAAGACACAGAUUACAAGUUUACCAAAUUGAUUUAUGUUGGCUAUGUUCAUUUUUUUAUCCUCUUUUAAUUGGCCUUUAUAAUCUUAUUUUUUAUUAUUUUCUAUAAAAUUAUCUUAAAUAUAUGAAUUAUAUGACUAGUGUGAUACAAUAUCACGUUGAAUACAUAUUUGGUGUUGAUUCAUUACUCAUUAUUGAAAAGUUGAUCCAAUAUGAUCUCAUUUAAGAACCAGGCAACUCAUGUAUGCUUCUUUAAAAAUAUAUUUUUUAUUAAUAAAGAUAUGUUUUAUCUUUGAUAUUCAUUUAUGUUUGAUUAAUGAGUUUAGAGUAAAGAUAUUUUUUUUUGAAACAAAAAUAUUUUACAAAGAAAAUUAUAAAGUGGUUAUAAUAAUGAGAACUUCUAUUGCAUUAAAGCACUAUUCUGAAUUGUUCAUAGUCAAUGCUCUAUUAAGACUAGAUAUUAAUUAGAGCUAUUGAAACAUGUAAAUAUUAUUUUUUUUCUUUAUUAAAAGAAAUAAUUGUUCUUAUAAGUUGAAGUGUGAGUAAUAUCUCAAACUAAUAUGUAGGCGUUUAUCAAUCGACAUGUACACUGAGUUGACUCAUAUGAGGAUUCCAUAUGGAGAGAUCACACGUGUCUCUAUAAAGACUCAUGCGAUAAUUGUGUAAGUGAGCUUUAUACUUAAGAUCAUUAAGUUUUCUUACAUAAAGAAUGCAAUAUUUUGAUCCUGACUAGGUGUUUUCUUAAUCAAAAAUAAUAAAUGGGCAAAUAUUGGAUAGGUCAUAAAUUAUAUGAAGAUAUUUGAGUGAUCAAAAGAUGAUUUAUUAUUCUAGAUGAAUUAGAGAAAAUAUCUCACAUAUUCUUAAAUAAUAUUAAUUAAGAAAUCCUUAUAUGAGGUGAAAUGAAAUUUGAAAAGGGUUUCAAGUCUUAUUAAAAAAACAAAUAACUAUAGUGUUGAGAACAAAUAUAAUUUAAGAAAACAGACACACUUCAUGUUCAAAUAUCUAAAUCAAAAUAUUAUUUAUGAUGAGAUAAUAAUUAUAUUGAGAAACUAGUCACUAAAAGAUUAAGUUAAACAACUUAUAACUUUUCUAAUAUUUAAAAAAUCAUGACACAUUACUCAAUAGUGCACUUGAUCUUCAAUAUAAAUCAAUUAAUUUGUUGAAUUGAUAAUAAGUUAAAUUAUUUAAUUUAUUUAAUUCUAUUUUAUUUAGAAUUGUAGUUUAUAUUUAGACCAAUAUAUUAGGAACCUAAUGGGUCAUAAAAAUUAAGAACUAUUAGUAAAAAAAAUUAAAUUGAGAUAAUAAAUUUGUGAAACUUGAUUGUAAAUAAGUUUUAGAAGUUGAAGACUAAAAUAUAAUUUAUAUAAGAGAUUACUAUUCUAGACAUAGAAAAAUCAAGUAGGGACUUGAUUGCAUAAAUUUCUAGAACUAUUAUGAAAUAAUAUAUAUGAUAUUUUUUAGGAGGUAAAAUGAUUUUUUUUUCAUUAAUAGGGUUAUCAGAUUUUUUUUCUUUAAAUAAAAUGUUAUGUCUCAUAUUUCUUUCUACAUAUUAUGCACUUUUUACACAUCAAAUACACAUAUACAGAUAAGCAGAGAUGAGAAAAAAAAGAGAUAGCACUUAAGACAUAACAAUCCUUAUCUCUUAAAAGGGUUUUAGAAGAUUUUUGAUCUGGUGAUUUGUGUGGAUUAUUAUUAGAUGUUAGAUAAUUGGAUGACUUAUUACUUGUAAUAACCAUGUUCAUCUAGCACAGAAAGAAUAAUUGUUCUUUAGAUAAUCUUCACGCAAACUUUAAAGGGUCAUAAAUUGUCUAAUAAGAUUCUUGAGACUCCUAAUUUAAAAAAAAAAUUAAUGUUUUUGUUGUAUUUAUGUAUUUUGGAAAAACCAACAAAUAUGGAUGUGGGUUCAUCUUUGAUUUGUACUAUAACAUCCUUAACUUUUAAUUUCUCAUUAUUGAUUUUUGUCUAUCAUGAUUCAAUGUAAAACCAAUGAAAUUUUUUUAUGAUUUUAAUAGGUCAAAUCUUAACUUGACGUUUUAAUUAUACCAAAAUUUUGACGGAGUUUCCCCUAAAUUUUUAGUUUUUUCCAGUGUCGACAUCCUUCAUUAUUCACAAUUAACACAACUCAAAUAUUCAAUCCAAUUGUUCUAGAUUAUUUUCAUAUUCUACAUACUCAUUAUUAUGACACUUUUAUUCUUCCACAUUAUAGGUAUAACCACUAACCAAAAUAUAAGAGAGUAGUAAAAUGAACAGACAUUCUCUAUUUAAAAUAACAGGUGUUAAUUAUGUAGUGAUAUUACUACAUAAUUAUAAAACUAAAAUAUUAUAUGCUAUUAGCGUUAAAAUUUAGAUACACAUCAAAAGACAUUUUUUAAAUUAAAAUGCAUAAGAAGUUUGUAAAAGUUCCUAUUACAACCUUAAUAAUAUUAAAAACUAAAGUAAUCUAUUGUUCGGCACGAACAUGAGAAGAUCCUGAAACCAAUUUGAUUAUUUAAUGAGAAACAUUGUCUAAUGACCAAUAUAAUAAGAUGAAGUUAUAUAUGUACUCUUUAUCCAAUUAUAUACUUUAAUGGUAUUUCAUUUGCACAGUGUCUCUAUCUUUUAUUAUUAUCAUUUAAAACUUUAAAUAACAUAUUAUCUCAACUAUCUGAUACUCUAAUACCCCUAGCACCACUUAGGUACUAGUCACUUUUAUUCCCGGUCGCCAGAGUCAUUGACACCUCUAGUAACACUCAAGGUACUAGUUGAAUUCAAUCUUGGUCGUCAGAUUCGUUGACGCCUUUAAUACAACUCAAGGUACUAGUCAAAUUCAAUCAUGGUCGUUAGAUUUAUUAAUGCACCACUCAAGAUACUAGUCAAAUUCAAUCUAGUAUCCUCAACAUAGACCUACGCAAGUAUUUUAAGAAUUUAUCAGUAACUAAUAUUCAAAACUAUAAUAUAUAAAAGAUAUAUGAGGGUGAGAAUAACACCUACCUGGUGUUAGUGCUCAUGUUGUCGCUCCUAACUAUUUCUCUAACCCGACAGCUUCCUUUGUGCCAUUAUGGUUAUGAUUAUUAUUAGAAUUGUAACCAUCAAUAAUAUCUCAAUUCUAUUCUCAUUCAAAUAUAAACAAGGAAAAAUUUCCAGAAUUCCACAUACAUAAGUAUUUCCUUUAUAUUCAUACUCAUUCUCGUAGUUUCCAUGUUAGAAUUAUCCAUUAACAACAAUUCCAAACAACAUUUGAAAUUUGUAAAAUCUUGGUCGGUUUAGUCUUUUCAACUCCGAACAUUAUUUGGUAUUUCAAUUAUAUAUAGGGUUUUAUAACUUUAUUUUGGGCGUGGUUAGUCUUUUCAGAAAACUUAGACAUAAGGUUACAAGUUCCAAAAAAGAAUAAAUACCUAGUUCUGUCAUUUACCCACCCAAAAUUGUCUUUAACAUUAGCAUACCCAACAGUCCUGCUUAAAAUUCAAUUUGACCCUCUUUCCAUUAUUAGUCCAUAAUGGGAGUUUUAUAACUCAAAAUCGCCUAAAGUCAUUUUUCAUUGAAAUUUAACACCUUAAACUACAACUUUCAUAAUUAAACAUAUUUAAAACUCCCUCAUUUACUUGACAUAACUUAAACUACAACCUAGGUGACAAAACUAUCAUAAUUUUAGCUUACAGGUCUAAAACACAACCAAAAUAUUUUCAUGUGUUCUUUUAUCAUUUAUAGCAACUAUCCUACACACCACUUAACAUCAUUUAUAUAUAUGUCUCCCAAAAUAAAUUUACUCUUAUCUAUUGUUUUAUUGAAAUGGUCCAUUAUGGAAGAAAAUGCAAUUCUUUUAAUUUUCUCUCGCACUCUCAAUUCAAUUUUUUUCUCGUGAAUUCAAAUCGAACAAGAAUUUAACAAUUUACAGUUAGAGCCCUUUAAUUUCCUUCUCUUGUUCGAAACCUUAUGGCCACAAAAGGUGAUUCUUAAAUUCUCAUUUUAGGGAUUUUACAUGCUAUUCAACUUUCUAAUACAAUACACAUUAUUUUUAAAUACAAUUCUCCUAAUAAUUUCAUCAAAUAAACUCAUUUCCUAAUUUUUUUUUACCCUUUGGCUGAAUCCUUGUAAGUGAUGGGAACAUGUUUUAUAUUUUAAAUUUUCCAAAUUAGAUCAUCACCUAUAUAUAAGCAUCAUUCAAACAUUAUAUUAAACAUUUAAUCAACCAUUCAUUCAAACCCACAUUCCAUAAUGCAUUUUCUAAAAAAAAUGUAUUAACACACAUACAUAUAAUUAAAGUUAAGAUUGAAACUUCUCACCUCUUAAACAUAAGAAUUUAAAUAAAAGAAAGUGUUCCCUCCUAAAUUUUCCUCCCUAACCCGCCAUUUUCCAUGCCAAAAUCUUAUAGAUUUUCUUUAUUUUUCCUAGCCUAAUCUCCUCUUAAUUCCUUUUUGCCCCUCAAUUCUUGUAUGGAGAUAAUUUGGGUAGAAUAUUAAAGAGAUUUGAACAAAAAAAAAAAAAAACUCUUCCUCUUUCCUUUUCUAAACAGUCGACCAUUCUUGACUUUUAAAGAAAACCAAAAGUACUUAUAUACUCAUCUUUUUUUACCCUUUAAGGACAAUAAUGCCUUUCCUUUUAAUAAUCUAGUGUUUUUCAUUUCACCAAGUAUUUCGUCUCAUCAACCCGACUAAUUUUUAAUUUAAAACGGUUUUUUUAAUCAUUUUAUUAUUAAUGUGAAAAUCUCUCAGUUUAAUUUUACCCAUUUUAUUUUCUGAAUCAAUAACAUUUACAAAUUCAAAAAAUUCUAACAUGGGGUUUACAUGUACUGUGAUAUAUUGUAAUGUAACUUAUUUUGCAUUCCUCUUAAUUAGAAUCUUUAAUAUAUUAUUAAAGAGAAACUCAUUUAAACUCAAAUAAAUGAUAUAAACAUUUAACAACAAAUCUAAUAUCAGUAUAUUGUAUAUCAUAAAAUAUUUAUAUUUGCAGGCAUAUCUUUUUCCUCAAGGUAUAUAAGUUGAAACAUGAAUGUCAAUUCAAUAAUUUUGCUAAGCAAUUGCAAUACAUAACACUUAGUAACUUUUCCUGAAACAAUUUAGAAGUUUCAAUUCUAAUAGGAUUCUUAAAUUUUUUCUAAAACUCAAAAUAGUUACUAAUGGAAUUUAGAAGUUAAAUGACGCAACAUUAGCUUUAUAUUCCAUUCUUGAUUAUGCUUCUUAAAACAUAAUAAUAUUUCUUUAUGAAUUGGUUCAAAGACAUUUCAAGACCUACAUAACCAUCAAAUAAGGCAUCAAUACUUUUACUUUAAUGAGUUGUUGAUAUUCCUUCAAUAUAUACUAUAACCCAAUGACCAUGAACAAUAUAUAAAGAAACCAACUAUUUUUUUUAAUAUAAUAAUAUUUGAUAAUUUAAGUCCAAGUCUUUUCACAUUAUUUAAUCUUCAUAUAAAUAUAGACAAUUCUCUUGAAAACUUUCUUAAUUUAUUUAAAUCGUACCAUAUCUUAAAGUUUUUUAGGAAUUUUUUUCAAGAUAUAUCAAAGGCAAAGUGAUUACGAAAACACCAUUUCACUUACCCUUGAAGAUAUUAAUCAAUAAUAAUAACAUUUGGACCACGUUACAACAUACAUUCCAACCAUGAUUUAAAUAAUAAAACAAAGUUAUCUUUGUCUCCCUGUGGUAAGAAACCACACCCAACAAUAUAGUUUAUGCAUAGUGUUUAACCCCUAAUAAAAGAAGCAAAAGGCACAUCAUUACUAUCAGUCAAGUAUAUAUAAUCACAUGAGAUAAUAUCACCAAAAUAUUUACAAUCACAUAAUGUUGUUCUAAAGGCAUCCAUUACUUUUUAUUUUGAUGAAUCAAAUCAUUAAUGAUGAAUUAAUUAUUACUCUUGAGAUUCUUUAUUAUAGGUUCAAUUAGUACACAAGUUAUCUCAAGGUGUUGAGUUUAAGUGGUUAAUUAAUAAUCAAAUAUUUUAGAGACCAAUUUAAUUCUAAAAUACCUUUAAAAUAACUUAAACCCAAGAACAUGAAUUCAAAGUCAUCUAUUAUUCGUAUGUCAAUGCACUCAAUUUGAAUAUCCUAGAAAUACAAAAUAUGAUUAAUGAAGUAAUAUUGCUAUAAUAAUGAUAAGUUUUAGAAAUACAUACGAGUGAGACAUGCAUGAACAUUCAUGUAAUCAAACGAAAUAUUUAACCCUUGAGAAAAUAAUACUAUAUUAAUUUUUUUAUUCUUAUUUUUUUCCUUUUAUAAUGGAGCAUAUGAUGAGAGAUAAAAUGCUAACAUUACAAUUACAAAACAAAAGGUAACAUGGUCUUUCAUUGUUGUAGUUAUUGUGCAGCUAGACUUGACGCCACCAUGGGUUGCUUAAAAAAUUAAGUUGUUGGGUGAAAUAAAUUGCUUAUUUAUUAAUAUAUUUUUGACAAGUUUUUAUCACAUUAUUUGAGUUUUUUCACGAAAUCACAUAUAAAAUAUUAAAAUAUUAUUUUAAAAAAAUUAGCAUCAUGGUAGAUUUUUAUUUAAAAAAUAAUGCUUGCGAUUAAAAAAAAUAAGAUUUUGUUAAAAUAAUAAACAAAUGCGUAAUAAAUAAAUCAAGUUUUAAUUUAAAAAAAUACAUUUUUCCUACUUAUUUCAAAUUAUGAAAAAUUUAAAAACUUUUAUUUUACUUGUUGUUGCCUUUUAUUCACAAAACAUGUUGCUAAUAAAAUUUAUGUCAAUGUUUUUAAGAAGAUUAGGGGUUUUUUAUGAUGAUAUUAUUGAUUACUUUAUAAAUAAUUAUAUAAUAGCAUGAUAUGCAAAGUUUUUAAGAUGAUUUGCUCAUUAAUGUUAAAUAACAAUACAAUGUCUAUUUCUUUUUUCUUUUUUUUUAUUGUAGAUAUCUUAUAUAAAUUUUUAAAUUUUUUUAUUCUAAUAUUUUUCAUAUAGUUGCAGAUAAAUGAUUAAUUUAUUAUUUUUUAAUUGAAAUUUGCAUUUUAUGAUAAGUUUUUACGUAAAAAAAUAUUUCUCAUAAAAAACAUGUUUUCAUAAAAAAUAAAAAAGAAAUGGAUUAAUAAGAUAAUUAGUAUUUUUAAAUAUAUAAUUUUUGUAUUUAGUUUAAAAGUUUUCUGAUUGCUGUUGCUUUUUAUUUAAUGAGUUAUGUUGCUAUAAAACAAAACCAUUUUGUUGUAAAAAAAAAACUUUAAUAAAAAAAGAUAAUUUCUAUGAAAAAAUACAUUUAUGCUCUGUAAUUUAUUUAUUAUGUUUCAUUCAAAUAUCUAUUUUUAUUAUUGUAUGACUAAACAAAUAUAUUUUAAAAGAUAAUAUUAUUAAACACAUCUUGACCCAUGACUUGAGUAAUAAGUUAAUAGAGUUAACUCAAUUUCAUCUAAGUCAGUUCAAAAUGUUAUUCCUUUCAUAUUUUUUUAAAAAAAUAUUAAAAAAAUAUUAUUUUUUAAAAUUCUUUCAUAAAAAGUCGAAUCUAAUUUUGAUAAAGUCGAUUGUCUGGUUUGGAAAACAAUCUCAUGGCUUUGGCAAAUCAAAAUUGAUAAUUGAAUUCAAAAAAUCCAAAACAAGAAUUUAAAUAGUUUGUUCCUAGUCCAUCAUGGGUUAAACAUGAAAUAAAAAUAUCACAAAAUUUGAAAUCAAUGUUGAAAUAAAAGGAAAAGAUAACUUGGAAAGCUAAAUUCUCUAAACGAUAGCAAUGUGGGGCUUUGAAUAAGCUUUUCGGAUCGGUAUGAUUUGUGCCCAUUAGACACCCGGAUUAAAAACCAUGACCCGUUAAAGCAACGGUACAUGCUUGCUCUUCCAAGCACGGCAAGUUGAUCCGUGAAUUCUUUAGCCACAUCACACAUCCACUUCGAAAAUAUGCAUCGUCAUUGGUAAUUGUUUACUUUAUUAUUUUUAUUAUUAUUUUUUUAAUUUUGGAGAAAAACUGAUUAGGUUUUGUUUCAUGUUUUUUUUUUUUUUUUAGGGAAAUGGUAUCAUAUAGUAUUGGAUUGAUCUUCUAUUUCAAUUAUGCAAUUAUGGAAACUUAGUUUUUUUUUUAAUUGUAUCAUCUAAUAUUAGUAUUGAACUCCAUAAUAUAGUUUAAUUUUUUUUUAUAUAGUCUCUUGGUCUCAUGACUCGAAUCUCAAAUCGUGAGUUUUGCGGGUUAGUCGUGUUAACUCAAGUCAAUAUUUUUUGUCAUUUUAAUAAAUUUUUUCUCAAUCUCAUUCUUCAACAAUAAGUUGAUUGAAAUUGGACUUUAUAAUUAUUUUUUGGCUUGCUUUCUGUAGGGUUAUCAUAUUUCAUAAUCAGGCUCGCGAGUUUGCCAUGUUAACUCAUGUGCUUUUUUAUCUUUUUUUAAUUGAAUAUCUUAUUUUAAUUUCUUUGUUUAAUAUUGGGUUGAUUGAAAAUUAAAUUUUAUAUAUUGAUUUUUUGAUUUGCUUUAUAUGGAGUCAUCUUGGUCUCUUAACUUAGGUUUGGUAAGUUAAUCUUAGUUGAUUAAGGUCAUUUGUUUUCUAUUUUUAAUUUUUUUUUCAAUUUAAUCAUUUAAUAUUGGGUUGAUUGGAAUUAAGACUUAUAAUUUUUUUUUAUUUGUUUUUUAUGAGGUUAUCACGGUCUUAUGACUUAAAUCGCAGGUUAGGGUAAUCGAAUUAGAUUUUUUUGGUUCUUUUUGUUGGUUGAUUUUGUUUCCAAUUUCAUUCUUAAUAUUGGAUUGAUUGAGAAUUAGACUUCAUAAUUUGUUUCAUUUUACAUUAUAUGAAGUUAUCUCAAUCUAAUACCUCAGUUCACGAGUUUGAUCGGUUGACUCGGGUGGUUUUUAUGCCAUUUUUGUAAUUAAUUUUUUUUUUAAUUUUAUCCUUCAACAUUAGGUUGAAUGAGAAUUAAGCUUCAUAAUUUGUUUCGAUUUGCUUUCUAUGGAGUUAUUCCGAUUUCAUGACCUAUGUUUGACAGGUUAACCUGAGUUAACUCGACUCAUUUGUUUAGUUGAAUUUUGUUUUAAUAUCAUCCUUUAAUAUUAAGUUGAUUAAGAAUUAAGUUUAAUAAUAUAUUUUUUUAAUUUGUUUUCUAUUGGCUUAUCAGGGUUUUAUGACCUGAGUAGCAGAUUUAGCAAGUUAACUCAAGUUGAUCCGAGUCAAUCUAAUAUGUUGAUCGUUUUAAUAUUUUAAAAAAAUAUUAUCUUAAUUUUUUUAUAUCAAAUUAUAUUUUUAUUAAUUAUUUAGAUUAUCUUUAAAUUUAACAAAUCAACUACUUCAUAUCAUAUAAUUAACAAGAAAUGGCACUUAUAAGCCUGGACAUGCUAGGCCUGUGUUGAAUGGGUCUAAUUGCAGCCCAUAUGCUUUCCCUAUUACAGCCUUUAUUCUCUUCACUUAGCUCUUCACUUUUCUAAACGGAAUCGUGAUUAUGCACCACUUUUUGUAUACUUGGAAAAUACUACUAGAUUAUUUACCCAUGCUGUUGUGCAAGUUAAAUUAAUUUUUUUUAUUUUUUUUAAAUUAAUAUAUUUUUAGUUUUUUUAGAUUAUUUUGAUGCACUAAUAUCAAAAAAAAUAUUUUAAAAAUAAAAAAAUACAACUACACUUCUAAACACACUCUGAAAAAGAAAAAUGGAAAGCAAAGAAAAUUAUUCUCUCUUGUUGUGUUUGGAUGAGCGAAAGACGAAGGGAAAGAAAAUAGAAAAAAAAACUGUCUUUAUUAAAAAAUAAAAAUGAGAAGGAAAGAUUAGAAAAACACAAAAAUUAUUUUGAAUUUUAAUGCAUUUUUAGUCAAAUCAUUUGAUUAAGUCUGUCAAAUUAAUCUUACCAUAAAAAAAAAUACAAAUAAACAAUAACUCUAAUUCAAACAGUACAAAUCUAUUUUAAUUGAAGAACUCAUUUGUUUUUUUUUUUAAUUUUUAAAUUAUUUUAAUGAAUUAAUGUUAAAAAUAUAUUAAAAAAAUUAUUUUAAUAUAUUUUUAAAUUAAAACAUUUUAAAAAACAAUAACUGCUUGAAACUAUUCUGUUUUUCCAGAUUCUGUUGGUUGUUUCUAACUGUUCGCAUUUGGCGGAGUAACUAACUCAUUAAAUUAAAGACGACAGCACCAACGCUACAACAUAGAAGAAAAUAAGCAUAUUUACAAAUAGUCCUCAAUAUUUAUAGAAACUAACAAAUUAGUCCCAUCCCUUAAGAUUUUGCUAAUAUCAACCCUUUUUCGAUUAACAAAGUAACAUAAUAAAGAUGUCUGAUCUACUCUUUUUGUUUCUAAUAUAAACGAAUCAUAUAAUAGUAUCAUAGCAUUUCAUCGACAAGAGCGAUUUUAAUAAAUUCAAUACUCUGGCAACAGAGCUGAUGGGGACGAACUCGUGAGACCAAGGAAUGUAAAGGGAAAAAUCAGCCAAAUCUAAGAGAUUGGAGGCCGAUAUGUUCAUGAAUAUAUAAAACAGGGACUGAUUCUUAAUUACCAAAUAAAGGAAAUGGUUAUCUUAUAAAAAGAAAAAGGACAUGAUCUAAGGUAACGUGACGUGUAAGGCUGACAACAGAUCAGACAAAAAACAAGUAACAGAAAAUCACAAGACUCUCUCCUUCUCUCGCUCUGUCUCUGUCUGUAACCAGCGAAUUUAGGACAUAAAUAAAGGAAAGGAAGGACUGGAGACCUUAUUCAUAGACAGUUGCAUUUAUGUUAGCGCUGAGUACAAUAACCUUUUUUUAUUUUUUUGAAAAAAAAACCACUAAAAAUAACCUAUUUAUCAGUAAUGGAACAACUCAAUCUUAACCUUUUCCUUUUCUUUUCUUUUGUUUUGUAAGGUUUGUUUUAUAGAUAAUUGUUAUCUAUAAAGAGAGGAAGUAAAAGAGGAGUGGUGGUUUUGUUGACAUUUUGACCCGGAUCCGACAUCGUCGGACCCACCUACCUUAAUCACCCGCCGCCAUUCCUUGGAACCUCCCUCCCUCCUUCUCUUUGUCUUCCGGUUCGUGGUCAGAGUGGCGAGGGAGAUCGAUUCUUUCUGCAAAACCGAGGCUUAAUCUUCUAUAUACAGGUUGGUAAUGUUCUACUAUCAUCAUCAUCAUCAUCAUCGUCAUGAUCUCUGUUUAGUUGAAUGAUGACAUGUUUUUCUUUAAAAAAAGAUUUUUUCCUAUGUAUGAUGCAUGGCAUUGUGAUUUACCUGGAUUUUUCUAAUCUGGGUUUUGUUCGAAAUGAUCAUUCAUCUGCAAAGGGAUUUUCUUUUUUCCUUUUCUGUAUUACAAUGAUUUUCUGUCCUUUUUUAAUGUUUAUUUACGGGAAAUUUGAAAAUUUAAUUGUGGAUUUGGGGUUAAAUCUUUUGUUUUUGUUAUUUCCUUGUGAUCAUAUUCAUUUGGAUUUUAAUGAUAAUAUAUAUUCUUAUCAUUCACUUUGCUGUGUAUUCUUCUUUAUUUAUUUUCGUGUGUAUGCAUUUCCCUUUCACGUUACCACGUCAAACGUCAACCUUUCCAUGAUUUUCCUUCGAUGUGUUUUCUUCUGGUGUUGUACCUGUUUUGUCUUCUUUUACAUUAUUUGAUGGGGACCCCUUGCCAUAUUUUUCUUACAUUUACUUCAGCUCUCGCAUUGCAGUUUCUGAUUUGAAACUGAAACAAGUGCUUCUUUGAAAGUGAAAAGAUCUUUUUCUUUCUUAGAUGGUUUGGAAGUUCUUAGGACACGGGUCAGAUUAUUUUAUCCAUCUUUUUAUUUAAUUCUGUCUUGCAGUUGCUAAUCACCUGCUUGACUUGAGAUUAGAUGCUUGGACGCUAGGUUGUUUUACCAAUUUAGGAGGUUCGUCUGAGAUUAUUGCUUGCAGAAUAUUUUGUGAAUUGUGAUCAUAAUGAUACUUAAUUACACAAUCUCCCUUUUUAAUCAAUACAGUUUUUGCCGCAGCCUGACUCCUUCAUCUCUCAACAAAUUUGAUUGUAUGCUUGUUUACAUAUGUUCACAUACUGUACGUUGAGUUGCUAAAAGACUGUUGAGUGGGCUAGCACUGUGGCUGGAUAAUCAGCACUCCCUAGUUAAGAAAUUGUAGGGAAAAUGAUUGUCUUAAUAAGUCAUUUAUUUGAUCUAAUUUUAGAUUUGUUCUUUUACAUUUUUUGGCAAGCAUGUGUUUUCAAACAUCAGAUUAGUCUUCAAGUUCCUGUUUAUGGACUCGAAUCUCUUGUGAAUAGUUUUUGCUACUGGCAGGAUUGUAUAAUUAGGUAGCUAGAAUGGGCAGCUGCGUAUCAACACCACCAAAAAAGAUUAAAUUACAUAAAAGGCGCCAUCGUAAGGGCAGACAUCUUGUGAAGAUAUCCAAUACUGUCCAGGAUGGAGGUAAGAAAAGGAUUAGCGAUGCCAGAUGUGUGAAAGAUUUUACUGUUAGUUAAUUUGUUCAUAUGAAUUUUGAGAAUGGUGCAGCUACCAGGUGCAGAAAAUCUGGAGUCUCCAAUUCGACAUUCCAUCUCACCCAGUUGCAAUGGCACCUCAGUCAAGUGGACUCUGAUGGUACUUUUUUCCAUCUCACUGUGUAUCAUAAAAUAUGCUAAUCAACCACUGUUUUGGCAUUCUUGAUUCUGUUGGCCGGAUCUUGUUUUAGUCCCAAAUGGGAAGCAUCCAUCAUGGCCUCGUCAAACUAAUAUGCCAUUCUUGCACAAAUUAUGAAGUCCAGUAGCCCCCAACUUUUAAUUGCUUGUAGACUAUACAGGCAAUGGCACACACUAUGCUACGAAUCAAAUACUUCUGCUUUGACCAAUUUGGUAGAGAUUUUUUUAUGGAGUUCUUGGCCAAUUUCUUAUAAAACACAGUGUGAUUUUGCAAUGACUUCCUAUCUUUUCUUCAUAAGCUAUAUGCUUAAAAUGGAAACAGCUGAAGUUCAUUACACAUGCAUAUGCCCAUCGAAAUUCACAGAAGAUUUUAAGAAUUGAUAGUCCAAAAACUGUUCCUUAUUGUUCUGUUUUGGCUAAUCUUCAACCUUAUGGAUGAUUCCCUUCUAUCCUCGUUCAAAUUGAUCAUCCUGCUGAUAUACACCUUGUUUAAUUUUGAAUAUUUAAAUUUUGGGCACCUGGUGCCAGGUGAAAUAUUAGGAAUUCUUAUUUUAAUGCAGCAAGAGCAAGUGUGAAAAUUAGCUCUUGAUUUAGUGUCAUUCCUUUCGGUUUUGAUAUGCAUGUUCUGGUUGCUGGAGUCAUAUCUUGAUGGUCACUGUUAUAAAAUGCAUGUGUGUUUACCUGUCUGGAUUGGUAUCCAUCUCAAAAUUUGAAGUGAGCUUGAGAUGGAAGCUCUUCUGCAUUAAUGCGAAAUUAUUGUAUUUGUUUCUCAAAAUAUAGUCUUUGUGUAAUUGUUAUGUUUUUUUUUUUCAAGGGGUCCAUUGAUUAUUGAUGUAUAUGAUAGAUUAAAACUUACCAAUUUUACCAUCUAUUCUUUCUUGUUCUGAAUGUUUAACUCACUGGAACAAUCUUUCAGACCAUUAUAUAAGAUCAUUACAACCUUUAUUGUUGCCUCUGUAGUCCCAACAGGGUCCACAGACACCUGUGCAUACUCUUCUAACUGCUGAAGAACAUGGCAAUUGACUUUUAAGAGUUUUUGUUUGCAGUAAUCCAAGAGGAACCAUGGUUUGAUACAGUCAGUAUUCUGGAGUCAGAUUCUGAUGAUGAAUUCUGCAGUGUGCUUGGAGGUAGUGAGCGCUGAUAUCUAUUUAACUACUUUCAUGAAAUGGUACCCUCAUUUAAUGAAGAUAAACAAGGGUGUUUUUAUUAAUGAUGAAGUGAUCUCAAUCAAAAGCCCCCACCAUGUUUUUUCAUUUAAUCUCAACAUAUAAAACUGAGAUAAAAUCUACCUUGUACUGAUUUCUUCAGGACAUAGUGGUAAUAUGUGGAAACGCCCUAGCUAAAUGUAUUUAUAGAUAUUUUAUAUUGACAAGUUUCCCGCCAUGUCUCCCUUCAUCAGUUGCGGUUUAACAUGUAGAGUAUGUGGUAAAGUAACUCCAGUUGUUGAUGUUAAUGUGAAAUGCUUGUUCACUAGUGUACACUAUGUAUAUAUUUAUAUAUAUAUUUUUUAUUGCAGACCGCUUUUCAUCAGUGGGUUCUACAACUGGGAACAUCUCAAGCGGACAAGUGCUUCAAUAUGAAAGCUCUUCAUGUUUUGUGGAUGGCAGUUAUAAAUAUGAAGAAUACCAUGAAAGUUAUAUGAAAAUAGAUGGAUCAAAAACAGGAAAAGAUGAAUACAAGGAAUCCAAAGGAUUUGCAGUUAUUAGUGCUCAGGGUUAUGAUCUUUCACAUUUUAGUAAAGCUGAUGAAAUUCGGAGGAAGAAAUUAUUAAAUAAUUCCUACGGAAGCUUCAAAGGUCUAAAAGAGGAUAGACGUGACUCUCAGGAGAAUAACUUGAAGUCAGGUCGAUCUCGAUUGGUUCCUUCUGUAAGUUUCAAUGACAAGAUUUUAUCUGCUUCAGCUCCAAAAGGGAAGCUAGCAGUUUUUAGGCUUUCUUUUAAGAGGAAAUCAGGUGAUAUUGGGGAAGAAGCUAGUGAACACUGUAAGUACUCAAGUUUUUGUUGCACAACUGCAAUUCAGCAUUUCUUUAUCAACGUGUAUUUCCAUGAUUUUCAAGCACCACUUCUCUCGUUGUCUAAUUUUAUUAUCCUAAUAUAACUUAAGGUUGCAUGAGUUUUCUCUCAGUCUAUAUUUCUUUGAGUACAGUAUUGAGCCUCAAUUUUGGACUUUUCACUUUAUUCGUGUUACAUGCAAAAGGGUAACUUUGCAAGACAUUCAAGUUUAUGUGCUUGUAAGUACAUGGAUCGCUGACAUAAAACGUCAAUCUUGUUGAUAUAUAUGUAUUCAGGUCCAUCAAAAAGAUUCUUGUACCGUCCUAAAGCAGGAUUUGUUAUUCCACGAGCCACGGGAGAGAAGCCAACUGCAGGAUGUUGGUCUGAGAUUCCACCCUCAAAUUUCAAACUUCGUGGCCUGACCUAUUUCAAGUAUGUCAUCGACUUACUUUAAUCGUCCUUAUUUGGUGGUCAGGCUAUUAUUACUAGUAGUUAUUCUGUACUUUGUUCUGUGAUAGGCAAUGAUAUAAUUUUGGAAUGAUUUACAAUGCAGAGAUAAGCAGAAGUGCCCUGCUCCAAUUCACAGUCCAUACACUCCAAUUGGUGUAGAUGUAUUUGUCUGCCCAAGAAAGAUAAAUCACAUAGCUCAACAACUUGAUCUUCCAAACUUAAAAUCAGAUGGGAAACUCCCUCCUCUGUUAAUAGUAAAUAUUCAGGUAUAUGUUUCUUAUAAAUCAUGGUAAUUGCUCAAUGUAUCCUCUUUGUCCUGCGAAAAUAGCAAUUAUAAUUUUGUUGACUUUUAAAGUCAGCAGUUUCUCAUGUUAUAUUGAACCUUCUUGAUGCUUCGCAGAUGCCAACCUAUCCUGCUGCAAUGUUCCUUGGUGAUACUAAUGGGGAAGGGAUGAGUCUUGUACUGUACUUCAAGGUUUCUGAAAACUUGGAGAAAGACAUUUCUUCCCAAUAUCAAGACAAUAUCAAGGUAACUCCGUUUUAAAUUGUCUUUUUUUCACCAGCAUGCUUUAUUUCAGCGAUAUAAAUCAUAAGGUGUUCAACUUAUACUCGCUUUUAAGGUUUACUGUAAGAAGCUAACCUUUCGGUGCAAGUGUUAUGUUUAUUUGGCUUCUUAUGUCCCUUGAUGUUGCAGAUGCCAACUUGAUGCAUAACAAAUCUAGGAGAAGUUUGUAGUUUGUUGUGUUUAGGGUUAGGGAGAUGCAAUCUCUUUCUUUUAGUAGAACUCCACUUCCAUUACCAAAAAAUGGAGAGAGCACUACUAAGCAUAGUGGAGACUUCAUCUACACGAUAUUUUUGUCAUCAGAUGUUGACUUUGCUUCAACAGGUUCCCAAAUCCUAUGCUCUUCAAAUAAUUUUUUGAUGGGUGCUGACAGACUCCGGGCUUCUGAGCUUUGUGUACAGUAUCGAGUGGAUUGUCUAUCAUUUUGGGACAGAUCAUUUGAACUGUCAUUAGAUGUUGACUUAGCUUCAACAAGGUCCCAAAUCCCAAGCCCUCAAAUAAUUUUAUCUCGAAACCACCACUCACUCGAACGUUUGGAUUCAGACAACUUUGGUAGCAUUAUUUUGUUCUCCCAAAGGACUACGACAUCAAGGGGAACCUAUAACGUCAUGGCUUAAUGACAAUUAAAAGGGUGAUUUCAAGUUCAAUGGGGCCUUUGGGUGAUAAUCAUGGAGGGGAAAAAAAACGACCAUGCACAAUAUUCAUAUUGGGAAGAAACAUCUGUUUUCCCUCAAUUUCAUUGUAUGAGGAAAUCACUAUAAUAUUUCAUCCAAAGUACUUCCAAUGACUUCUUGAAAAUACUCUUCAUGCUGUUUUAGUUUGUUUUCCUGGGUUUCAACACACUCUGUGUUCUGUUAUCUUUGGUUGCUAUUGUCUUGGUUGACUGAAAUUUUCUUUCAAAUGUGACAGAAAUUGAUUGAGGAUGAGAUGGAAAAGGUUAGAGGUUUUGCAAAAGACUCAACUGUUCCAUAUAGAGAAAGGAUAAAGAUCAUGACUGGGUUGGUUAAUCCUGAAGAUCUCAAUCUAAGUUCUACUGAAAGAAAGCUUGUUAAUGCUUAUAAUGAAAAGCCAGUUCUUUCUCGUCCACAGCAUGAAUUUUUCAAGGUAAAGCACGGAUUAAAUUAUUUUUGGUUCAGCCAAAUGUCAAAUUAGUUUGCAGACGAUCUACUAUGCUGUUGAAAUUUCGUUGGAUAAUAACGGACUUGAGGUCUUCUUUCUCAUAGUUUGCUACAUUAGACAGCAAUUACUUCCUAGUUUCUUUCUUCUCUUUUUGUUUCCACUGUGAAAUAUGCUAGUAUUCCAUCCUAGUGAUUAUGUGAUGUAGCUUUGAUAUGCAAGACUGAGGGAAAAGAUUCAUGACCAUGCCCAUCCUAUUGUUCAUCAUGCAGGGUCCUAAUUACUUUGAGAUUGAUCUGGAUAUCCAUCGCUUCAGCUACAUAUCAAGAAAGGGACUAGAAUCAUUUCGAGACCGCCUGAGGAAUGGAAUACUUGAUCUGGGUCUAACUAUCCAGGUGAUCAAUCUAACUUAUCACAUGCAUUCUUUACUGCAGGACAUUCAGGCUUGUCUGGCGUCAGUGUCCAUCCAAGUUAAAGUUUCCAUAUGCUAAACCUAAGAUCACUACUCAGAUAGAAUUAACCCCACCUUUAUCACCUGAGCUAGCUGGUUCUACAAGGUUGCUUCCUAUUUUUGUUUUUGUCAAUGUUUCUGGGAACUUAUUCUGUGCACAAGAGGAGGAUUAAGGAACUGGAUAGUAAAUCAUUAAGCCUAUAUAUACUUGAUCAAGAGCACUCUCAAGCUCUCAAGCUCAUUCUGGGGUCAACAUUUGUCUUGUAUUAACAGGCACAGAAACAAGAAGAACUUCCGGAGCAAGUGUUGUGCUGUCUGAGAUUGAACAGAAUUGAUUUUGUGGAUCGUGGUCAACUGCCGAGGCUUAUGACCCUUGAUGAUGACUAAGAUGGAUAUAUUCCUGCAUAUACCAAUGCUCAAUCAUUGAAGGAGUUGAAACUCCUUUAUCUCUAAUAAUGGAAAAGGUGAAAUAUGUUUGUUACGUGAUGCACAAGUAAAUAAUGAAAAUACAAAUGUUGUAAUAAUUUUGUGUUUAUAUUUUUGGAUAACCACCGUUCCAAAAAUUUUGAAUUUUUUUAUGUUUUUAAAUUGUUUUAAUAUGCUUAUAUCAAAAAAUAAAUUUUUAAAAAUAAAAAAAAUAUUGUUUAGAUGCAUUUUAAAAUCACUUUGAAAAGCAACCGCCACUAUAAUACUAAACACGUUUUAACCUUAUUAAAAAAUAUCCUUUAUUACUAACCAAGUAAAACAACUGUUAAAUGUUCAUAAAUGAAUAACCAAAUUAUUAAGGAAUAAAAAUGAUAAUUCAUGGAAAAUAUUUUAUUGAAGUUGUAUUUUUGAUAAACUUUUAUUAUGAUAAGACAAGUAGUUUGAUUAAAUUGGCAAUUAGAGAUUAUAAUUCUCAAUGGAAGUUUUUAUUAGAAUAAUUUUUUUUUAAAAUAAUAUUCAAAGUAAGAAGUGUUGAUCAAUUUAAAAUUAACAACUCAAAACACCUUAACAUUUUUUGGGCAAAGUACAUAUUAAUCCCCCAACUAUCAUCCAAUUCUCAAUUGGGUGUCCAAACAAAAACAAAUUCCCAAUUGAAUCUUUAGCUAGUAGACAUUACCCCAUUCACCUUCUCUAUAAAAGUUUUUGCCUUUAUUAUCAAAAGGACUCAUUUCUGUCAUUAAUUUGAAUUAUGGUUUUUGUGGAGUAAUGUUUGAUAAAUCGGGAUUCAAUUGAGAAUUGCUUUUUUCUUUUGUACCAAUUUGAGAAUUAUGUGAUAGUUGGAGGACAAAUCUAUACUUUACCCCGUUUUGUGAAUUUUAUUUUAUUUUAUUAUUUUUCACAAAGUUAGUAAACAUUAUUAGAUUCGUAAUUAAGGUUAGCUAAUUAAUUAAGGUUAAUUUAGAUCAAUUCAAAAUAAAGAUAUUUAAAGAAUUUUUUUUAAAAAUCAAAUAAAAUCUCAAACGAAUUAACUAAAUCAUGAAUUAUUCAUCAAGUUAACUUUAAAUUCAUUAUUUUUUUUACUCAGCUAGGCUAAAGGUUUGGUUGUCCAAGACACGUGUCAGCCACGGAUCACUUCAAGUAUAAUAAUUGUGAUAUUUCAUAAAUCUAUUACUUUUUUCAUUUCCAAAUAAAUUUGUUUAAACAAAAAACCAAGAGAGAGCGCCUUGCUGGCGUUCCCGUACGGCACCAGCUCUCUCUCACGACGGAACGGGAUAUUUAUUAUAUUCAAAUAAAACGGCAGGGAUACAAGCGUAAAUAUAGAAAGCAUAUAGUGGCAAAAAAAGAAAAGAACGAAAAUUAGGGUUGCUCUGGUAUAAAUUGAAGAGAGGGCGAGCGGGCAAGAUCUAAAUCACGCCCAAGGCCGAGCGCUUCCCUCUUUAGUUAGGGGUGGCGUGGUAUUCCACGAGAGAGGUUUACAUCGUGGCGCACGUCAGUGCGUUGGGCGCACAAUAAGAAAUAGGGAACUCCAUGGCCGCUUUGCUGCUCUAGUCUUUGCAGUCAAGGCGAGGGUAUUGUCCUACAUCUUUUCUUCCUUUUUUUUUGGCUUUUAAUUUCACACAGAAGUUAUUUUCCAGAGAUUAUUACUUGUCAAAGUAUUUUUUUUGUGUGUGAUCGAAGAAAUCCUGAGUCGUAACUACACAGAAUGGAAAUCUGAGGUUUUUAUCUUUUCCCGUUUUUAUUUUGAAUUUUUUUAAGAUUUUGUUAAUAAAAAUGGAAAAACUUAAAGCCGCAAGGUAUGUAUCACCUAAUACAGUCCCCGUGAGUCUUGUUCUAGUGCUUUUGAUUUUUGAGUUGAGUUAAUAAUGCAGGAUUUUAUUGCAAAAUUAUUUCAUAAUAAUGUUUAGUAAAAUAAAAGCAGAAACGUUGGAGUGCUAAUAAGUUUUUUUGUAAAAUUUUUCAAUUUUGUUUCUAUACUUUAAAAGCACAUUCAAUCACAUUGUGUAGUGCGACUUGUUUGUUGUUCUUAACAUAAAAGUAUUAUCUUUUUAUUUUUAUAUGAAUUUAGAUAUUCAUAUUUAUUUGGGUAUCCAGGAUUAAUCAAAUUCUAGAGGUGUAAGUAGUAAGGAAAGUGAAGGUAAUUUUGAAAAAUUAGAAUAAACAUAAUUUAAUUUGAAAUAACAUUUAAUUACUAUUAUUUACUUACCUGUUGUUGGUUUUGAAAAUUUUAUUCAAUAACUUGCAUAGAAAUAUGAGUACUUUCCCUUUGAAUUAUAUAUGUCAAGCCUAAAUGUGGCCAUGAUCAUGUUGUUGAUUCGAAGAAGUGAAGGCCAUGAAAAGAUAAAUCUUCUGGCUUUUAAAGAUCAAAAUAUAAUAACUGGAAUAAAUGUAUGACAGCAUAACAGCAUGCAUCAUAUUAUUCCCAAUAUGGCCAUAUGAUUAGAACAUGUCAGCUUACCACAUGUUAGGCUAAAACAAAAUAUAACUAACGUCAAUCAACUUUUUCAUAAUCUAAUUUUAGAUACCCCGAAGUUUUUUGUCAAGCCUAAAUGUGGCCAUGAUCAUGUUGUUGAUUCGAAGAAGUGAAGGCCAUGAAAAGAUAAAUCUUCUGGCUUUUGGACACAAAAAGAUAAAUCUUCUGGCUUUUAAAGAUCAAACUAUAAUAACUGGAUUAGAAUAUUAUGACAAGAUGAGAUGAAUAGAGAAAAAAAAUUGAGGUUGAAAUGCUAUUUAAUUAAAUUUCUAAUAGGUUUAAUUAAUUUAUUUAAUGAUUUAAUUGGAAAGACACUAAGUUAAAAAGUCAAGUCAAUUGGGUAAAGAUUGGAAGAAUUAAUUAAGUUAAAGGAUUUAAUUAAAUUUUUAAUGGGUUUUAUGGAUUUAAUUAAAAAAAAAUCAAGUGUGAAGGUCUAAUUCAUAAAGAUUGGAAGAUUAAGGAUACAAUUGAAAAAUUGAAACUUUAAAAAUCUAAAUUGGUGCAAUGAGAGGUUUAGUUGAAAGAAAUUUGAAAAUUAAAAGCUAAUUGAGGGUUAAAUUGAAGAAUUUCUAAACAAAAAAUUGUUCUUAUAUGAAAAAAAAAACUCUUAAAACAACAUUCACACACUUAUUAAGAAUAGAAAAAUUAAAAAGUUAUUAAAAAAAUAAAUAUAAUGAAAAAAAAAAACUUAUUUUAAUUUCAUUGCGUGUGAAGCUAAAAAAAGAAAAGAAAAAUCCAUAAAGUAUGUUAAUCAAGAAAAAAAAGACUAAGAAGAUAAAAGAAAAAAAGAGAAGAAGAUUUACAUGUGCAUGGAGGAGAAGAGAAGAGAAAAAGUUGAGGAGAGAAGAAAAAAAAAGAGAGUGAUGUUGAUAUUUUUACAAAAGAGGAAGAGAUAACAAGAAGUGCAUUUGUUAUGAAAUUAGUGAUUUUGGUGUUUUAAUUGAGUUUUUUUAUAGAUAGAUAAUUAAAUAUUAAUAUUUUUAACUUAUUAUCGGUGAAUUUACAGUCCGUCGGUGAUUCUGCUUGUAAUAUUUAAUUUAAUAAAAAAUUUUCAUAAACCCCCCAAAUAUUAUCAACGACUUUUUCAGUCUAUCGAUGAUUUUAUUUGUAAAAAACAAUAAUUAACAUUACAAUUUAAAAGCGACCAGUUCCAGAGUUUUUAGGAAAAUACCAACGGACUUAAUCCAUCGGUAAUUCCGUAUGUAAUUGACAACAUAAACAAUGUAAUUGAAAAGUAAACAGUCUCAAAGCUAUCUGAAAUAUACUAACAGACUUAUUAUGUCGGUGUAUCUGUUGGUAUUUUAUAAUUCCAAUUCUCUCUUAAAUAUUAGAGAUAAAUUUAUGGAUGAAUUAAUACCGUCGGUAAUACUAUUUAUAUAAAUGACAUGUCAUUAUACCUUUUUUUUUAAGUCCUUUUCCCACUAUCAUCCCCCAAUAUAUAUCGACGAAAUAUUUAUGUUGGUGUUUACCGAUAGAUAUAGUGGGAGAUAUUUUAUUGGUAAAAUUUAUUACAAUCUAUCGAUAAAAAUAUUCCAUCAUUAUUUUUAUUUGUAUUUGUUAAUUUUCUAAUAAUGAUAUAUAUAUAUAUAUAUAUAUAUAUAUAUAUAUAUUUUACAGUCAUCUUGGGCCUAAUAAUAAAAUUUUAAUGGUGGCAAGUAGCAGCGCAACUGAAACUAGCAGGCUGCCCAGGGCCAUGUUCACGGUUUCCAGACUGCUCUUCUGCUUGCAUCUUUUACAAAUACAAGCCAUCUUCUGCUUGCAAGACUUUUGGUACCGCCAAGCCACGUUGCAAUGGUACUCACUGGGCUGAAAUAGCCUUAUUGUCAUAAUAAUAAUAAUAAUAAUAAUAAUAACAACAAAUUAUACCACAGUUAUAGUAUUACAUGGCAAAAAGAGUGUUAAUUUACUAAAUAAGAUUAAAACAACCCUUUAUUUUUUUUAAAAAAAUGUUUUUAAAAUAUCUUAUCUUAUUUUGAAAAAAUAAAAUAAAAAUUGAAGCCACGUUGUCACAAAAUCCAAGAUGCCGCUGGUUUCCAAAGAAUUAACUUUUCAUCUAAUGCAUGAAUAUGGUUCAUUUUUUAUACAAUGAAUUUUUUUAUUCUAUUUUUUAAAUUGAUUAAGAUUAGCUUAUUAUUUUAGAAUUAUACUAGCUAGAUGGACUACUUUAUAAGCCAAGCUAUUUUUUUAAUGUAAAAAAAUAUUCAAAUGACACCAAUAUUUAUUAAAAAUUUAAUAAAAUCUAAAAUUGAAGUUAUUAACUUGAUUGAGAUUAAUAGGUUUGGUUAAUUUAAUAAUAUAAUUAAGAAAAAGACAAAUAAUAAAUAAAGCAUACAAAAAAAGAUAAUAAUAAAAAAUAAAUUAUCAAUAUUAUACACUAAAGAAGAAGAAAAACAAGUUUAUUAGAGACAUAUAUAAAAACUAAAAAAAAACAAUAAUUAAAAAUAAAAAAAAUUAUCAAUAUAAAAUAACGAUAUCAUUUCACUAAACUUAAAAAAAUAUAUAUAUAAAAACUAAUUUGUCUCUAAUUAGUUUGUUAAUACCCAAUAAAUCCCUUGUAAACGAUGGUUUUACUCCCCCAGGCAAGCUUUGCUAGUUUUUCUAAGAAAAGCAAAUUCAUAAAAAUACUUUUCCAAUUCACAGUAUUGUAUGGCUGCUUGGGCUACUGUAUUUCUCUUAUUCCUCUCUCUCUCUCUCUCUCUCUCUCUCUAUAUAUAUAUAUAUAUAUAUAUAUAUAAAGAAUUACAACGGUGAUUGGUACCAAGAGAAGAGAACAUGAAGCACUCGCAAUAAUCGUAACAAGUAAUUCUCCAAAAAAGAAGAAAAAAACCCAACAGUUCCAUUGUCAGAGGUCGACCAUAUUGUUACUAGUAGGAAAUGUACAUUUAUGCAAGAAAGAUAGUUAUGAUGAUGAGUCUACUAGACGAGAAGAGGAUUUAAGAUAACAGAGAUGGAAAUGAUGAUGAUCAGCAGGAACAUGAAGACUCCACCGAAUCCAAUGGAUAUAGCUAAAAUUACGCGAUAACAGUAAGUGGGCACUUGGCUGCAGAUUGGUGGCCAAAAUGCCUGAGAAUCUCCAUGCUUGUGCAGAUACGCAGCUGCUAUAGCUGCUGAAUCCAUUGCAACAAGGAGUCCGAACAUGAUCUUACAAGAGAGAAAAACCAUAUAAAUAUCCAACAAAUUAUUACAACUGUAAAGACCAAUUAAAUUAUACUUGUUCAUGCCAAUAUAUAAAUUAAUAAAAAAAAUGCAUUAGAAGACCAUGCAAGAGAGUGUUACCACAUCUAAAACAAUAGCCAAUCGCCAGAGCAAGCUCUUCGGAGGAAGGCAUACAAAGAAAAAGCUGUAAAGGCUUGCGGCAAUGUUUGCACCCAAAAAGGCCCUGAAAAUCAUAGAUUUUUUUUUUAUAUAGAUUAGAGAGAGCAUGCAUGGACCAAAAACAAACUACAAAGUAGUAGAAAACUAGAAAUGAUAUAUAUGUAGUUGUAACGUACUUGAAGAGCAUGAGAUCUGUAUAGUCUGCUUUGUAAUCGAAAGGGAAGAUAGCUCUUUCAUGGCUUGCAGCCAUGAAACUAGUUGCAAGAAUAGUGGCAAGAAAAGCUAAGCCUCUGAGACCUCGAACAAUCUGUUUAACGAGUGGUGGUAUUUCUACAUCACCCAUUUUGACUGCAAAAUAUAUAUUUCCAUGCACUCACGCUUAAUUAAUCAGGAAAAUCUUGGCAUUAUAUGUGUUUUAAGUUCGUUGAACUUAAAACUUUAAAGUUGUUCAUUUAAAUUCAGAGAUUGAAGAUAGUGAUGAGAUGAGGGAACCCUAGCUAGCCAACCAAUUAUAUGAUAUUGGCAUGUAAUUCUAGUGAGAAUAGUUAAAAUCUCAUGAGUUCAUAUGCCUACAUGAUUAUUAGCCAAAAAAAGAAGUAAUUAAAUAACUACAGCAUAUAUAGUUAAUGCCGUCAGAAAUAAGAACAAGAAAAAAAAAAAACAAAACUCUAGGGGAAGAAACAACUUACCACUGAAGGGACGGCUCUCGCAAAUACCCUCUCUCUCUCUCUUUUCUGAGAAUAAGACAGCUUCCUUCUGUAAAAUGUGAAGGUGAAACUAGGGUUUCGUAUAUCUACAAAAAAAUUGUACACACACACACACACACACACACCAUAUAUUUACUUGAUCGAGGGGCAAAGAUAUUUCAGUCUAUUUCCUUUUCUUGACAUUUUCAUACGGCUGAAACUUAAUGAUAUAUGGAUUUUUUAUUAUUUGGUUCAUAUUUUCCAUUUUUGUUUUCGGCUUAUUGGAUUGAGCUGGAAGCCAAAGGGUGAAAAUUAACACAGACGUAGAGCUGCCUGCGUGCGUGCGUGCAUCUGUUGAGAAAAUAUAUUAAAAAAAACGUUUUUAUCUGUUUAACAUAAUAAUAAUAAUAAUAAUAAUAAUAAUAAUAAUAGGCACACUGCUAGGAUGCAUAUAAAACAAAAUACACAACAGAAAAAAUAAAAAAUAAAAAAAAAACACACAAAUUUAUCUAGCUAUAUUUAUGAGCAAUUAUAAUUUUUUUUAUUAAGUAAUGUGAAAAUUAUAUCCACACUAAUAUGAUAUGAGAACAAUUAAAAAUCUCUCUAGCUCUCCCAAAUACUUCACAAUGAUGUUUGGAAUUCCACUCCUUCACUUUUGUAUUUUUUUUCUUGUAUGUGGUGCAUUGAAAGUCACGAGUAGUAGGUUCGGCAUCCUAUCCUUUCUUAAAAGAAGACAAAUGGUGCACCACCAUAUCAAUAAAUGAUGCACUUAAUUAAUAAUGUUUAGGAAUAUACUUGCGAUUACUUUUUAAAAUAUUUUUUAUUUAGAAAUAUAUCAAAAUAAUAUUUUUUUAUUUUUUAAAAAUUAUUUUUGACAUCAGCGCAUCAAAAUGAUCUAAAAACACUAAAAAAAAAUAUUAAUUUGAAUCAAAGAAAAAAUUUUUAAUUUUUUUUAAAAGCGUUUUUGAAACGCAAAAACAAACAGAGUCUUAAAGUUAUCAAUUAUUAGACAACUUUCAAUGCUAACCAUUAGAAUGAGAUGCUAUUACAUUCUUCCACUUGAAUACUUUGAUUUUAAUCAUGUCUUCACACUUGAUCAUAUGUGAUUUUUCUUGUCUUUUUAUACUUGUCAUUUUCUUGUUGCUUAUGUUUCUGCUAGAUCAUAGGAGGAUCUACAUCAUAUGUAUUUAUAAUUAUUGACUGGCUUGGUUAAAGCAUCUACUGGGUUUUUCUUGGUGUGAAUCUUUUGAAAAUCUACAUUUUUAUCUUCCAUCAUUUUGCGAAUUUCGUAAAAUGAUAAAGGACAUCUAUGUGUUUUGUUGUUGAAUGGAACGUUGAAUUCCUUGCAAUAUGCAAGACACUCUGACUACCACAAUACAAGGGAAUCUUCUCUUGUUUAUGCACAAGUUGUGCUCCUUCAUGAGUCUUCUUAGCCAUAUUUUUUCUUUACAAACUUGGGUAGUUGUCAUGUGCUCAGCUUCUAUUGUGGAUAAAGCCAUAACAAUUUAUAGUUUAGAGAUCUAGCUUAUAACUCCUGUAAUUGUGAAUACAUAUCCAGAAGAGGAUAUUCUUUUCCUAAGGUCACCUGCAAAAUAUGAAUCAAUGUAACCUCUAAUAGUAAAUUUCGAUCCUUUAUAAAAUAAUACAGCAUCUGAGAUACCAUUGAUGUAUCUCAAGAUCUUCUUAAUAGUAUUGACAUGUAUCGACUGGUUGCUCUUAUUACUUGUGCAAUGUUUAGUCUUGUACAUAUCAUGACAAACAUUAAACUUUCAACUGUUGAUGCAUACGUUACUCGAAACAUCUUCAUCCUCUUUGCUUCGUUGCUAAGAGACAUACUUUAGUCUUGUACAACUUGCUUCGUUGCUUCGUGUCUAUGAAUUUACAUCCUUAGAAUCUUGUUUAUUAGUCCCUAGGUCCUUCACAUCAAACUCCCUAGCCAAUUGUGCUUUUAAUUCAUGGAAUCGAUCUUUGUUAGGGUCUACUACCAAUAUGUCAUCCACGUAUAAUAAUAAAAAGAUAAAAUCACCUUCUUCUUCAAACUUUUAUAAUAUAUGCAAUGGUCUGAAAUGAUUUUGUUGUACCCAAGGCUAAUUAUAAUGGAAUCAAAUCUCUUGUAUCAACACCUAGGCACCUGUUUGAGAUCAUAUAGAGCUUUGUUCAAUCUGGAAACCAAGUUUUCAUUGCCUAUUUCAGCAAAACCUUCUUAUUGAAUCAUAUAAAUAUAUUUUUAAAGUUUUUUAAUAAAGAAAUGCAAUUUUCACAUUUAACUACUCUAAAUAAAGAUCAAAUAUAACACACAUCGACAAGACUACUCUGAUUGUUUUAAGUCAUACCACUGGGUAAAAUAAUUCAUUAAAAUCUAUUUCUUAUUUCUGAGCAUAUCCUUUUACCACAAAUCUUGCACAAUAACACUUCACUUGAUCAUUUCAAUCACGCUUUAUCUUGUAAACCUAUUUGUUGCUGAUGGCCUUCCUUCCUUGUGGUAGAGGAACGAAAUCCCAAGUUUUAUUUUUGUGUAGAGCUUCAAUCUCCUAUUGCAUUGUUGUCAUCCACAUGAAUGUAUUUGUACCUUUUGUAACUUCAUAAAAAAAGGAUGGAUCUUUAUAUUAUAUUAGAAGACAAUAUGCAAUGUUGCUCUCAAUAACAUAUUCUGAGUGUCAAGCUGGUGGUCUUUUUUCACGGAUUGACCAUCAAACUUCAGAAGUUUUAGAAUUUAUAUGUUCCUAUUCUUCAUGCUCUGAUCCAUAUUCAAAAGAAAUAUGAUUCAGAAUAUUUUCCACCUGAAUUGUUAUAGUCUUUUUUAAAGUGCUAUCAUUUUUUUUUCAUUUAUGUUUUAUCUUCUUUAAAUAUCACAUCUUUAUUGAUACUAGGACAAUAGUAUCCCACAAAUGAUAUCCUUUCACUCCCUCAAUAUAUAUUUUACUCCUCCUAUAUUUAAUAACUUAAAUAUUAGGGAAUCUCUAAUCUUGAUAUGAAAAUUUUUUGCAGGGAAACUCGUGACUUAGUGAUCCAGUCACUUCUCUAGCCUAAGAUUGCAUAUGUGAAAAACCCAAUCCUGAUGUUUUUCAUGAGAUACACACGUCACUUUUGGUUCUGAUACGACUUUAAUAGAAUCUUAGAGGAUUCAUCAACAAAAUUCACAAGUUUUCAGUUAAUCCAAAGGGAGGUUAAUUUUUGCUGAAGAAUUUAACUUGAUGAUGUGUGUGCCGUCUUUAAUUGUGCCAAUAAAUAUAUAAAAGAAUCAAACAAGCAUUUUGUUCCCGCAGACUCUUGCAAGUUCAUUAACUUGGCUGACCUCUAUGGAUGUGCAAACACCUAGGAUAUUAAGUAGUCUAAAAUUCAACCAUCUAGGUGGUGGCCCAGUGGUAAGAGCUUGGGACCAAGAGGUUUGCUCCCUCUGUGGUCUCAGGUUCGAGCCCUGUGGUUGCUCAUAUGAUGGCCACUGGAGGCUUACAUGGUCGUUAACUUCAGGGCCCGUGGGAUUAGUCGAGGUGCGCGCAAGCUGGCCCGGACACCCACGUUAAACUAAAAAAAAAAAGUAGUCUAAAAUUCAACAGACCUAAUAAAUCUAAACACAAAAAAAAAAGAAAAAAAAAAAGAAGAAAAAGAGCUCUGAUCUUCAUCUCAUGUGUCUUAUCUUUCAUUGGUUGAAUGAAGACAGGUUAACAAAGAGGUAAUGAACUUUUUUCAUGUCUCUUCACAACACAUCUCUACAUCUGCAAUAUAUAAUGCUAAAGUCCAAGGGGGUAUUGCUGGAUUUGGUGCUUCUUUCAAAACUUGAAAAGAUAAAGAAUACCUGAUGGCUUUCAUCUUUGAAGCAAGAACCCUAAUGACUCUGAUUUCCUCUAUUAGAAUCAUGUAAUGGGGGAGGGCUACAAUUAACUUCUUUUUUCCCCUUACAAGCCAACAUUCCAUGUAUCACUUCUACGAGCAACUCCGGCAGGAAGCAUGAUUUUUCUGCGUCAUUUGUUGUGUUAUAAACCGUAUACAUAAGACAAGGCUUUUUCUUUGUUUUUUCUUCCUUUCUUUUGGUUGAAAAGGGCACUACUCUCCAUUAUAUAUGUGAUUGGUCCAGUACAAAUUCAAAACCCCUUGUUUUUUGUGGAAUUUGUGGAUUUGAACACAUGUUAAAACCUAAGGAAAGGAGGUACACUAAUACGUCAAAAAGAAGAAUUCUUUUGAACUCAAGAGUAAUAGAAAGCACUAUAAAAGACACAAGGCCUAUGAUUUUCCCGAGUUAGCAAGGAGUUCUGCACAAUUUACUGCCUGCUUGAAGGAAUCGAAGGGUUUGCCAAUCGUAGAAUCCUUGCAUCACAUUUCUGCAAAAGCAAAACCAAAAUCUUUAAGUUUCUCAUACUUCACUGGAGCUUAGAGGAAAAUUAGUCUUGGCAUUCAGGAUUAUAUGAGCUAAGCAUAUGCAAGUUCCUUCAACAUGCAAAUAUUUCUAACUUGUAGCAGAUAAAAAUAAUCUCAGGAAUCUAAUUCUCAAAGUAUCCGACUGCAGAGGCUUUGCUAGAAAAGAUACAGAUGUCGAAUCCUCACCUGUAGCCAACCUUGUUCUUCGAGCUGCUCGACGUAUUUGACUUUCAUUCCUUUGCAAGAGUUCUUCAAUUUUAUUUGGUCUGAAUAACAACGGGCCUGAAAAUUCAAUCUUCUCCCUUUCUUUACUGUGGUCCUACCAGGUUAUUGUAAUGCAGUUAGUCAUAACACCAGAAAUUGCUCAGUUAUUUCUAAAAAUUGUUAAAAUAUGAGAAUACAUUUCACGGGCUGAUGUCACAUUAUCAGAUUACUUCUUACCACAACUGCAUCUUCAGUUCUGUUGAGAUCAUUAAAAUAGUAUGCCUCAGAUGCAUUAAGAGAAUCAAAGGGAUCAGAUUGGUUAUGCUGCUUCUGCAUCACAUGCUUGGCAGAAUCCUCAAGGAAAUUGUUUCUCCCAUUCUCUGCCUUCGUGAAGUCAAAGGAGCUGUUUGCAAAGUUGAACCUUGAUGAAUCUUCAGCACUUAUUUGACUUGAUGAGACAGAUGGAUCAUAAGAUACUGUGGAUGUAGAAUCCUCUUUCCUUGUCUUUGCCCAUGCAAAGCCACUUGAUGCUGUGACUUGUGCUGGUCCUGUGAAAGAAUAGUGUCCUUUUGUUGCCUGGGCUGUCUCUGAGAUUGUAUCAGAAAAUAAAUUUUGCUCUCUACUCGCUCCUUUUCUUCCUUUCGCGUAUGCAUUAUUAUCAUUAGCCAAACGAACAAAUUCAGAGUUAUCUUUCACUUCCUGCAUAACCAAAAACAAAGUAUCAGGAACUAGCUCACUUCUCUCUCUAGAGAGAGAGAGAGAGAGAGAGGGAGGGAGGGAGGGAGGGAGGGAGGGAGGGAGGGAGAGAGAGAGAGAGAGGGAGGGAGGGAGAGAGCGAGGGGAGAGACCUCCUUUGGUGCAAAUUUAUUGAAGUUUUGUUCCUGGAAUGUCCGAUGAACUCUUCUUGGUUUUCUUGGGAGUCCUGGAUCUCGCAUUCUACUACCAGCCUUUUUCCUGGAGGCACAACAGUUAUUCAGUGGCAAACAUAUCAAAAUCCUGUUCACAUAACCGCAUAGUUCAUAGAGCUGAAUUUAUCCCAUGGAAAUAUAAUUCCUUGGUUGCAGAUACAACUAAAAGCUGUUGGGCGUUUAGACUGAAGCAUGCGAAUUACAUUUUAGCUGCCUAAUCAAGGAUCAAAAUUCUCAGGUCACUGAUUUAACAGAAAAAUUGACAAAAUCACAAGCAGCUUUCCUAAACUGUUAAUGUUGUACCACAGUGUUAACAUAACAAAUUAAAGGAACUUUAAUACAAGCAAAACCAACAUGAUUGAGAAUUUUUACUCAGCACUCAGAAGGAGGACCAAUUUCACUCAAAAGGCCAGUAUCCCCGCCCCCCUUCCCUCACACCCACACCCACACCCACACACAAAAGUGUAACAAAGUGUAUACCUUCGUGCUUCCUCUCGAUAUUUGGCAUCCAUUUCUUUGUUAGGUGGAUACUGUGGCAAGCUUGAUGGUUCACAUGCAUAUGGCGUUGUUCUGAAAUACUGGAAAAAGGGGAGAAAUCUAAGAGGAGAAAAGGUGAAUGGCUCAAAUUUUUGAAAAAAAAAAUUGUAAAAUUGAUUCAGUCUAUAAGGUUUUCAUAGUUCUAAAAUCUGAAAAACAUAGGGAGAACACCAUUCAAAAGUGAAAAGCAAAGGCUUCUGAAACAUCAGAAACUGCAAUAGCCAAAGGCACUAUUAUUUUUCAAAUUAGAUCUUCAAUCUGGAAACUGAAGGGUUAGAGGAUUGGUUUUAGUUAGGGAAACCUGAGACAAAAGGGCAGCGGAGGCAGUCCCACGCUUUUCUGGUUCUAUGGAAAGAAGAGUUUCCAUCAGGUUCAAAGCAGCUGCUGGAAUAUCUUUGCACCUCUCUUGAAGAGAACUUUCAUAAGGAUGCUGGGGUUUGAACAUGGUAGCAUUGGAAAGCUUAGAUCGUUUCCAGAAGUCAUCAGAAGGAGAACCACAAAGUUUGAAGAUUUUGUGUAAUUGUUCAACCUGCAAGUUGAAAAAAAAUAUGAUAAAUAUAUUGAACUUCCAAAAAUGAUAAAUUAAGAAACGAUGAAAAUAUGCCAUCCAUAUACGUUGAAUAUCUGGUUUUUCCAUUUUGAACUCAAGAAAAUUGUGCUUGCCUUUUUUGAUAAAGAUAAUAUCCAUGCAUAUUUGUACUUCCAAUAUUUUCAGUUUCUUCUUUUUCACCCUAAUUCUCAUCAAAUGCUAGUAAGGGUAGGCAAACAGAACUUUUGAAGUUGUGUAGAACAGUGGAAUUUAGAAAGCAACAGUGCAGAUAUAACUUCAGGAGUUAUUUUAGGGCCUAGUAUGAGAAGAACCAGAGGUUAUAGAUAGAAAAAGAUUUAAGGGACACUAAAUUCGUUACAUAUCUUUGCAAUUUUUAGAUUCAUGCAUUGCUUAACAAAAACAUCUGUAGGAUUGAAAUGUUACCUCAGUUCUCCCCUUGAGUAGAGGCUUCCCAAAGAGGAUUUCACCAAAUACACAGCCCACACUCCACAGGUCCACUGAUACACCAUAACUUGUUGAGCCCAUCAAAAGUUCAGGGGGACGAUACCAUAAAGUCACCACACGACUUGUUAAUUGGUUCUGGUUCCUUGAAUUAAGAACAUUGGCCAAUCCAAAAUCUCCUAUUUUCAGAAUUCCCUCAUUGUUUAGCAAAAUGUUGGAUGCUUUGAUAUCCCGGUGCAUUAUACCUAGUGAAUGGACGUGCUCAAUUCCACAUAAUAGCUGCUUCAUAUAGCACUUGACCUGCAAAGAAAUGUCAAAUUAAACUUGUCAGGCAAUUAAAUGAAGAAAAAUAAGGAUAUGUUCAGUGUCAUGAAAGAAAGAAGAUGGUUAAGAAGAAAUGACUCUGAUUUGUGUUAGAGCAAUUGUAUAUAAUAUCCUGAAACAUAUCCUCACAAAUCAAAUGAAUAAAUAGAAUGCUAUCCUACCUGUGACUCAGUGAACUUGAUAUCUGGAGAAGACAACAGUCCAGAAAGAUCAUGCUCCAUGUAUUCAAACACGAGGUAAAUGCUGCUCGACAAUCGAGAAGUAAUUAUUCCCUCCAACUUCAUAAUAUUUGGAUGGUCAAGCCUGCGGAGAAUCAUUAUUUCACGGGCCAUAAAUCUAAUGCUCUCUGGUUUAAAAUUGUCAAAGCGAACCUUCUUCAGGGCAACCAUCCUCCCAGUUUCAACAUCGCGUGCUUGGAACACGCUGCUGUAAGUGCCUUGUCCAAUCUAAAUUCAUGGAUUAGAGUGAAUAACUAUUAUGAGUUACAAAAAUGAUCAAAAUAUAAGAACUGAAUCACUCAUUUUAGCACAAGUAUCGAAAAAGGAAAAAGUGAAGCACCUGUCACAUGGAACAUUAGUCGCCGGACAACAGAUAGCAGAGGGACUUUCCACUUUUAAGGUUGGGUGUGGGUGCAAAUUCAAGUUGUAUUUCAAUCAUAAAUCUAUUUCUGGUAUUCAUUACGCAUCUUAAUAUAUUUGCAGUGUAUAUAUGCAUUUAUUCAUGCUCCUUAUAAUCUUGUGCCUCCUAGUAACUUCUCAGAGAUGCAUAUCCAAGCUUAUUCCUCAAGGCUCAGUUUAUUUUAUUACUCAAGAAAUUGAGGUUCAUGCCUUAACUGAUCCCACAAUCUUAUUGUCCAGUGAUAUCAUAACUUACUUAGUAGGCUUAUAUGCCUCAAGGCUCAACCUUGAGGCAGGGUUGCUGCCAAAGGAAAACAAUUUGAAUUGUCAACCUAAAGAAAGUUUAUUACCUGACAGCACCAAUCACCUAUAAUUCUCUUUCGAUCUCCGUAGCAUCAAGAAUAAAGCAUGGACUCAGACCAUUAAACUUGACCAAUUCUCUCAAUCUCAGCUUCUUGUCACAUGCUUUAAUUGAAGCAUGAGACCUUUAAUUCUCUCUCAAUUCCAUGAACACCCUUUUUCCCUUCGAAAGAGGGUCGCCAAGCAUCACCACCCUUUGGCUUCUCUGGACCAAUUUUUUUAAUAAAAAAUUCUACAUAUACUUUCAUCUUCUAGCUGAAUAGCUGAUCCCACUCGCCAACGCGGCCAAACUAAUUUUAUCAAAAACCAUCUACCAGGCCCAGCCAUAUUCUAGCACUAGAUUAAGGAUGUUCCACCAAAGGGCAAGUAAAGAGCCACCACAUAAACUAAAUAAAAUUCAUGAUCAAUGACUAAACAAAAAGCAUGAUGCAAUUGAUUUAUGGAGACCAUAAGAUGUAAUGAAGAAAAAUAGAACAUGAAAAAUCUACAAGAACCCACAACAAUUAUGUUUCUUCACUUAAAACCAAAUCAAAUAAUAAUCAUCAUAAAAACCUUGAAAAACAAUGAAAAUAAAUCAAGCAUUAUAAAAUACCUUAUCUAAUUUCUCAAAAGCUUCAGCUCUUAGAGGCACCCAACCAUGAAUGGCUUCACCAGCUGCAGCACUAAGCCAAGAAGGCCAUCCAGCAGCAACCUGUUCAACCCCAACAUUCCUACUUGAGAACCCCAAUUUGAAACUAAUUGAUCCACUACCAGAGCUCCCUCUUUUCCUCAAAUUUUUAUUGUUUCCAUGAUUGCUACUUUGAUGAUGAUGAUGACGACGUUGUUGAUCUUCAUAUAUCACCCCCCCUUCAUUAUGGCCACCAUUUUUAUAUGACAAGCUAUUUUUUCUAUAAAUAUUAUAGCUUUUAUCUUUUUUAUCCUUGCUGAAGUGAUUCUGCUCAAAAUCCAAUGAUCCAGAUGGAUUUUCUGAGGCAAGAUCAAAAACAGUCGCUGUGUAUGGUGGUUGUAGAUUAGCAGGGGUGGCAGCGGCCACAGACACCGCCCUUUUGGAGUAAAUGCAACCCAUUAACCCGACCCAGAUCGGGAAAAUGGGUUUAUUUUCUGUAGGUCACUACCACAUUACCUCAAGAUUAAAACUUUUGAGGGCACCCCAUUAGUAAUCAAUCCAAAAAAGAAGAAAAACAGAGAGAAAACAGAGUUUUUGUUGUUAUUUUUGGGAAAUGUAGGAGUGUUGUGUGUUGUGUAACCUGCGAGAUUUGCGUAGGAUUUCUGUGUUAACGUGUCAAAGAAAUGAGUCUCCUCCGAGAUUAAAGGGAGAGACAGGAAUGUUGUGGUCGUGGGUCCGAUUUGGUUCAUGUUUUUUCUUUUCUUUUCUUUUCUCUCCUUUUCUUUUUUCCAAGAGAGAAAGUGCAUGCAUGUAUGUAUGUUGGCUUUGGUUUUGCAAAAGAGAAACCAAGACUAAGAAGAGGGGGGGAGAGAGAGAGAGAGAGAGAGGAUGAAAUGUAACCGUUGAGGUUGGGGGAGUAGUUCUGUUAUUAUUUUCUGUUAGUUUAUUUGCUUUGGUUUGGUGUUUAGGUUUUCAUUGACGUUGAAGGAUGUGAGAGGAUGACCUCUUCCUAUAGUGGUUGCAGCCCACUACUCCCAUUCACAGCUACCAAUAAAAACCAUUACUAUUCCUAUAGUGUGCAUGUUCUCCGGGUAAAUCUAGAGAUAAACGGGGGAGGUUUUUUCAAUUUGAGAAAGAGUUAAUGGAUUAGGCUAUGGAUGGUAGCUCUUUUCCCUAUCCUUUUGCUCUUCUCUUCUCUCUUACCAUCCUCGAACAUGUACAAACAAAGCCACCAGGAGAGCUGGUGGUCAUGGGUGAUAGUUCUUUGAUGAAAUUGAAGAGAUGAUUAUGGUUUUUGUUCUUCUUUCUUGACAUUUGCAUAGAUGCAUGCUCUGGCCCGCACAGAAUAGUGCAUUAGUUAAGAGCCCACCGCACCAAUCAAUUAAACGGUGGUUUGUAAUAUAGAAGCGGAUUAUGCACGUAACGCUUUCUUUAGGAGGGCAAGGGGGCAAAAGGGUUUCCAUUUGGAUAGGUGAUUUCCACUUUUAUUAGGAGGAAUCUCAGCCAUUUAAAAUUUCCAUUGAUGGCUACACACAAGUAGGAAUAGCUCUUUUCCAUCUCUAAAUCCCAUCUCACCCAUCACUGUUUGAAUCUAAUACUUUCAAGUGAAUCUCAAGUCCUAAAGUUGUAGAGAUUUCGACGAAUCUUUUGAACGCAGCAGCAAUAAUCCCUUGGGGACUGUCAGGCAACAGCUUGGCAUGGUCACUGAGAAGGAUGGUAUGCACAAAAAGGAUAAAUUAUCUUCAAGCAUUAGUUAUUCUCAUCUUCACUUGGGCGUGAACAAUCAAUCAUAUACAGCAGCACUUACAGAAUCAAUCGUGUACAACCAACAUUUCUUGACACAUGGUCAACAGAUGCAGCAACUAUCAUCACUGCAUUUUAUCCCAAAAAUGUAACAAAAAACAGAAACAAAACCAUUAUCGCUGGAUUCUCACAACUUCAAAUAAUUAUUUUCUUCUCCAUGUCUCUUCUUUGUACCAUGUUAGUUGGCAAGAAUUACCCUCGUAAUUGUCUAGCAGCUAUCAGCAGAGUAUUUUAUACAGCAAUUUUUUCUUCUUUUAGCUGUAGAAGCACUGGUCUUUGGUCAUUGUUGCCAAACUCCAUUCCUUUGUGCAAGGGAUGCUUUUCGGUCACCACCUUUUGAGGUUUCACUUGGGAUGCACUAGUGUUGGCUGUAUUAUGGCUGCUGUUUCUAGCAGCAGGGACAUCAUGGUUAUGCUUUCCCUCGUAUGUAGUUACGACGGCUUUGGGAUCUGCUGCAGCCCUCUCAACAUGCUUACGAACAUUGCAUCCUGCACUGGUGCAUUUGUAAUAACUCCUGGGGACAUAAAUAAUGCAUCAGUAGUGUCCUCACAGAAAGUUAUGAAGUAUCUUGGAAAUCAUGCCAAGAUUUGAUUGAAUCAUCACAGGCAACAGCUGUGAGCAGUUAUACUGACCACAGUGGAUUCUUGGAAUCUCAUUGCGCUGGGUCUCAAAAGAAUUAGAGCAAGGAACAACACAGUCCUAUAAGAAUAAUAUCAACGUGGCAUUGUGUAGGAGUUUGGAUAAUUAUAGAGCAACAAACAACUUAGGCAUAUAAGAAAAAUAUCAAUGAGGAUAUUAAGGUAAACAUAACUCUCUCUGGGCCAGGACCUGGAGAGAGGUGCCACCCAAGCCCCUAGCACAAGUCACAAGUACUCGUAACAUUUCCACAGGAAGCAAAUAAAAAGUAUCAAAUAAAAAGAAAGAAGUAUACUAAAAAAUUCCCAGACUUAGUUAAUUGCACCAAAAAUAAUUUUCAUGCCAAAACUAAAGGGUCUUAUGCUUUAACUAACAAAUUAAUUACCAAGAGGGAUCAAAGAUGAAGCAAUGUAAGAAAUUCUGAGCUAAAACAAACACAUAAAUACUAAAGUCGGCCACAGAAAAGAUGAAACAGGCAUAUGGCCCAGUUGUAUGAGAAAAUUGACAACAGCACAUGAUUUAAGAGCAAAAGAGGCUCUUUGCAGAACCAGAUAAAAAUCAGAAAUAACUUCACUGCAACCCCUGUGAUAGAAAUACGGCUUUGUAAAAGUUUUAACUCCAAUCAAUCAUGAUAAGAGAAAAAAACAAUGCUAUGCAACUUUGAUUGCACUUCAAAAUUUUCCCUCUCUGAAACCUGAAUAUCUUGAUACAAUGGAAGCUAAAGGAUUUAAUGCUUUAACUAACAAAUUAAUUUCCAAAAUGAAAUAAAUAAGAAUCAUGCAGUCAAAUCAUUUAGAAAAAAAUCUGCUGAAAGGUGGCCUAACUCAGAUCAGCAUUGAAAAAACUGAAGGAUUGUACUAAUUGUCAUGAACCAGACAAACAAUGUUCUGCAAGCUACUAUGGAUGUUAUGAAAAGCAUAUAGAAAACACAGAUAAAAUUCUCCCUUGGUUUCUUUCCAUUUUCUGAAAUUCAAACUUAGCCACCAAGUUAAUUGCUUGAGUCACAAUCAUGGUUUUGAGUAUCGAACGCCACCAUUUAUGUAACAUCAUUAUUUAAUACAAUAUCAUUUUCUCAUUGUGUUAAAACCCAUCAAAACAGGGUCCUCUAGUGGCAUCUAUAUAUUGCCAUAGCAGCCAUUAUUUUCAAGCAUGGCAUCCUUUAUGCUUCAAAAGGAUCAUCUUUAUAGCUAGUUCCCUCUCUUGCAUCUGCUACUUGAUUCAAUUUUCUAACCCAAAGUUUAAACCACCAUCCUCUACCUUUUACUUUAAAAAUCAGCAUACAGCUUGUAAAUUGAAGAUUUAAGGUACUCAUGUCAAACCAAUUUUCUUUUGGUCUUGUUUUUUUUUUAAAAAAAAAUUGUAAUAUAAGCACAACUUUUUCUCCCUGAUGGUUCUAAAGCAAAAGUAAACAUCCUGGUUUGCAAUUACAGGGCUGCAAAUGGGAUCUUGACAGCCACUUCAUGCAAAAAAAUGCUUGCUUGCUCUCUUCAAUUUCUUUUUAGUAACAUAAAUUUAGUGAAACCGUAACUAGAUAUUACCCUCUCCUGUUCUAGAGUUUAUAUCCUUUUCAAAUAAUAAAAGAAACAAACACACACAACUACCCUCUCCUGUUCUAGAGUUUAUAUCCUUUUCAAAUAAUAAAAGAAACAAACACACACAACUACCCUCUCCUGUUCUAGAGUUUAUAUCCUUUUCAAAUAAUAAAAGAAACAAACACACACAACUAGAGGGGAUGAAAAACCCUUCCAAAUAUUUUGAGUAUUUUAAAUUGACAAGAGGGCUAGCAGCUGGAUCUGGGAUGACACAUACAAUGUAAUGUGCAAGUAUUGUGCUCACAGAAAGGCCCCUAGGAUACACUUGGAUAGUGUAGAAGAACAUAAACAAAAAUAAGUAAAGCAAUAACAACCUUGGAUGAGGAUUCCCUUUGACCACCUUCUGGCCAUAUUUGCGCCACCUGUAGCCAUCAUCCAGAAGAUCAACUUCACUUCUCGUUUGAACAAUGAUUUUUGGUUCUGUGACUGUCUUGUGAGGUAAAGUUGCCUCAGAUGUCACAACAUCCACUUGCCUGCACUCCGAGAAUAAAUUUUCUCAGAAAAUUAUCAGAAGAAGAGAAAGCAUGAUUUUAAACAGUGAAACAUCUUAAACUUGCCUUCUCUUUGGGUUUGGCUCAUCAUCACCCCUCUCUUCUUCUUGCACAGCUGCAUCACCUGCUUCCUCGCUGUCACUGGGUCCAGGUGGCUCUGAGGGAUCUGCUUGAGUAGAUUCCUGAUCCCUCCCAAUUACUGAAUGAGCAGGUAAUGUUUCAGUCAACUUGAUUGCAUUGCCCGCUUGAGCUUGUGAACCAACUUCAGGCUUAGAUUGCAAAUGGAUACUUCCAUUUGAAUCAUUGCAAUCUUUUGAACGCUUGUUGGGUUGAGGCAGGUCGUGGUUGUGCUGGCCUUUGUAGAUGAUCUCGGUAAUUUGGCCAUCACUAGAACGCUCAACCUUCUUUUUGACUGGACAAUUUAGAUGUGUACAUUUGUAGUAGCUUCUUGGAUAUUCACUACCCUUAAUUGGCUUUUGCCCAUAUUUUCUCCAGUUGUAGCCAUCAUGAGUAGGUUUAUCAACAGCAGCAGGAGGUUGGUAUUUCCUUUCAGAAUGAGAAAACUCUGUCAGUUCCACCACGGAAUUCUGGGUGUCAGAGGUUGAGUGUGGCAUCUGCUGCUGCUGUUGCAAAGCUUCACCAGGGUUAAAGGAUGGAUGGCGUGUCAAUAACUCAGUUGGUGCUGUUAAUGAAGAAGGCUGGUACUGAGCAUGCAUAUGCAUUUGAGAUUGGGCGAGUAAUGCAGCAUGAGCUGUAACCUGUGCCAAGGCCUGCUGGUGGGACAUUCCGAAGGGACUCUGCACGGAAACAGAGGUAUAAAUAUUUGAUUACCUAACACUGGUCACUGCUGCAGUAAUAUGUAGCAAGCAUCAGCAGCAUGCCAUAUACUCCCAUACUGCAAAAAUGUCCACACAAGCAUCCAUAGUGGAAAGCCCAUCUCUUUCUAAGGUUCUAGAUUUGGUAUUUGAAAAAAAAUUCAAGAAAUUUUCAAUUCCAUCAUAUAGAUUGCACCAGUGGAUCACUCCACGAGUUUCCAAAUAACUGUUAUGUGCUCAACCAAAAGAACAGGUAAACCAAUAUCUCAUCCGGCUGCCAAGGUUUUUUUUUUUAAUCAAAUUAUUAGCCCAGAUCAUGUUUUCCUAUCAGCCCAACUAGCCAAGCCAACCAAAAAUUUUGAACUCCAAGAUAAGCUUAUGCUACACCAAAACUCUCAUUUGAGAAAGAGCAUAGAGAAUAAUGAUAAGUAAACCACAAGAAAUCAGACCUUUGAUGAUUAAGGCAAUAGAAAGAAGUGUCGGCCACAAUUUGGAUGAGGAACAGAUAACACUUCGCUUGGUUUCAGGCAUUAGAGUAUGAAACAGAAAAUGAUUUUUAUCAAGUGACUUAGUUACUUUUCAGUCCAGAUGUUCUAGCCAGCAACAAAUAACAAAUUUUGAAUGAUCCUUUUUCAGAAUCAAAACACCUAACAAACCUUUCCAUUCUGAAACUAUAUUGCAUCCCAAAAUAAAGUUUUCUAAUAAGAAAAUAAUUCAAUUCAGUAUCAUUCAAGCUCAUAAAUGUAACCCCUUCCUUAAUUACAAAUCAACCAUCACACAAACUAACAUCCCUCUCUUUAAACAAACCUGAAAGGUGAACCAAGAAAACAAGCAGCACCAAGUAAUAAGCUAACAUUUCCCAAUCUUUUAAAAAAAAAAUUCAAGGCUUUUCUAUAAAUUACCACAUAUAAACUCAAGCUAAAAACACCCUCACACGCAAAAUUAAAGCAAGCAGAACAUCAUCAUCCAAUCAGAAAAUUACCAUUUUCCCAACAACCUCACCUUACCAAAGAACCAUUAUAAUAAGCCAAACACGAAAAUUCAUAGAUCGAAAAAGGAAAAAUAAAAAACAAAGUACCUGAGGAGGAAAGAAGCCAGGAGAGUUAAGCAAACCAGAAGGGCUCAACCCAGGAGGGACAGUAAACAACGGAGAGCGAGCCACUACCAAAUUCAUAGGCCUGCUUUGCCUAAAACCAUCAUCUUUUGAAGAAGUUGCAGUAGCAGUAGCAGUAGCAGUAUUAGUAUUGUUGUUGGGUAUUGAAUGGUCAUUGAAAAAAGCAGGGCUGGCAAUUGGAGAAGCCAUAGCACCAGCAAGAAGUUGGGAGAAAGAACGGUAAUCUGAUUCAGGGUAGGGGCUAUCAGCGAAGAAACUGGAGACUAGAGUCAUGGGACCAGGACUUAAGCCACCUGUGAAAAGGGUCUCCAUGGACGGUCUUGGUGGAAGAGUUAUUGUAGGCCUUGCAGGUGCUGGUGCUGUCGUGAGGUUUUGUUGCUUCUCGGCCAUUCUUCUUCUUCUUUUUUUCUUGGUAAAGAGGAGUGAAAGACAGCUAAUUGUAGUAGUGUUUGUUUUCUUGUAUGAUUUCUAUUUAGGUUUUUAUUGCCUGUGAAAUCUGACAAGAACUGGAACUCCUUUUCUUCCUCCUCCUCCUAACUCUUUCUUGCUUUCUUUCUAGCCUUGUCUCUAUCUGUUUGUCUGGAACCAUAUGAAGAAGAAGAAGAAGAAGAACAAAUCUCAGUGUCUUUCACGUAUUUAUCUAUCUGGCUUUUCGAGGGAUUUCGUGCUAUCUUGAAAUUCAGUGGAAAGUCCACGGACCCCAAAUGAAUUGAAAACCAUAUCUCUCUCUCUCUCUCUCCUUUUCCCUGUAAUUUUUUUUUUCAGGCAAAACUUCGUGGGGAAGCCUCAAAAUGGUUCCUAAGUAUAAAAAAACUUUUAUAAAAAUAUAAAAACAAAUUCUACAAAUUAUUUCUUUUAUUUUUAAUAAUAUCAAAAAUAAAUUUAAAAUAUAAAAAUAAUAUUUUAAUAAAUUUUUAAAUAAAAACAUUUUAAAAAACAUCAGCUAUCUUAAUCAUAACUAACAGCUAAGUUUACAUGUCUCUAAAUAGUGUUUGUGAGAUCCUCGUAA
rnacentral:lncRNA from 1 species